AAUAAGAAAAUGUGAUAACUAGGGUUAAAAUUCUGGAAGUCAAAAAGUAAAGGACUGCCACAUGCUAAGAGAGUUCAUUUUGAUUCAACAAUUAUAGAAUUGAAUGCAAACAAAUGAAUAUAAACAUUGAAUUUAAAAUCCCAAUAUUUAUGAUAAAUAAUCAAACCUAUAGAUACAAAACAAAACAAGUUGCAGCAACAACAACAACAACAACAAAAAAUGUCAACAAAAGUAAAAAUAAAAAGAAAAGAAAUUGGGAAGUGGGUAAGGAAGAUAUGAACCUCAAGAGCGUGAUUGAAGCGUCUAAAGUCCUUCAAGAGCCGAACGAGCGACUGAAGCUGCUGCUUCUCAACAGCCUGACCCUCACUGACCCAUUGUUCCAGCACCGGCAGAACUGAGGCUUUUGGGUCUCUGAUGACCUUUAUGCGGUCAUGGAGAGAAUUCGACCACGAAGGCGAAGAAGAAGACGAAGAAGAAGAAGGGCGGAUUGAAUUGAAAAGAGCGUAAUUCUUUCGAGGGUUUUGAAGGGAGAAGGAGAUGAGCUUGCUCAUGCAAUUAAGCUUCAUCCUCUCUCUCUGCUAAUGCUAAUGGGGAAGUGUGGCUUGGGUUUUAGGGGUUUAAGAACCCUUCAGUUUCUGUUCACAGGUUAAAAGGAGUCAGGACAGGAAUAAGGGCAGAAGAUAUCCUCCCUUGAUAGGCCGUGGGCUGAUGAGCCCAAAUUGUUCUAUUGAUCUUUGUUGCACCUCCAACCACCCAAUAUUUCUUCUCUUCUAUGAACUUUCAACAAUGAGCUCAUUCAUUUAUACUAUGUUUAGAUGAGUAAAAUAAACUUGGAAUUUGGAUAAAGAGGUAUUUGUUGAUUUGCUCCCUGAACUUGCAUGCAACUGUCAAUUUCCCCAUGAACUUUCAUUUUAGCCGAUUACCCUCUUCAACUUUUUUAAUUAGCCAAUUUCCCCAUUGAACUUGAAUUUUGACCGAUUACCUCAUUGAACUUUUAUAAAUAGCUAAUUCCCCCUGACAUUAGAUUUUAAAAAACUUUCAUUCAAUUUUUCAUCUUUUUUACCCUCAUACAGUUGUUGACACACCUCGACCGAGAUCAAGGUAUGUUGGUCGUCACGUGAGGGUGACAAAGCCAUGUGCAUAGUGCGGAAGCAAUGAAGAUAAAAAAUAUAUGAAUAAUUAAAAACCGAAACUACCAGAGUGCACUAACAAACAGGAAGUGUUAGGAGUAAGAUACAAAAGUAAAUACUCAUUCUCUGUAAGAAUGAGUGCUCUGAAUAUGAGAGCCUCUAUUUGGGAUGUGAGGCCUCAGGAUUGUGAGGGUGAGGAGUCCCUUUUAUAGAAUAAUAGGUGGUGUCCACCAUAGCAUCAAACAUACGCAUGUGACCACUGUUUCCUCAUGAGUGUUUUCAGUGGGAUACUUUUACAUGUUAUCCCGUGGGUUUUCUUUUUUCAGUGGGAUAGUGGAUGACCGCUGUCCAGAUCCGCAAUCAUGGUUCCCAUGCUCGCCGACAAUGGUAGGGACCGGAUUUCUUGAGAUCCCUCUCCAAUCUCCUUUUCCUGCUUUCUUGAGAUCCAUCUCCAAUCUCCUUUUCCUACUUUCUUGAGAUCCCUUUUCCAAUCUCCUCAUUAUGGCAGUUUUCAAAACCUUUUUGACGGCGUGGAGAGCGGCACCGUGGCCACCGACGACGGCGCCGAUGAUGAGCAAGUUGUAGUUCCACUUCGGCAGUUCUAAUGGGUCUGUUACUACUCCAGGCUAGCUAGUCUGUGCAGCGAGGAUCUCAUCCACAACCACAGCAACCUUAUUGAAAUGCUCAUACUGUCUGUUUCCAAGGCCAAACAUUCCGUAGUUAAGAUUCUUAAGCCACUCCCCUCUUUCUUCACCCUCUGUAAACCACUUGUAAAACCUCACAACAUUGUCGGUUGGCUCACCAUCACCAUAUGUGACCAGGAAGAAAAAUACCAAGCUCUCAUUUUUCAACUUCUCCUCAUAUGCUUCGUCGUCGGCAACGUAAUCGUCCAAAUCAACAACUUUGAAGGUGACAUUCUCAUAUUGAGCUUUUGCUUCCUCAGCCAAAGCCUUGGCGAAACCUUCAGCGGUGCCAGUCUGAGUGCUGAAGAAGAUGGUAACCUUCUUGCUGCCGUUGCCAACCUCUUCUGGCUCCGGCUCCUCCACGAUCAGGGGCCUAGACGGCUGGAUGACGCCGGGGUGCUUCUGGCACUAGAUCGUCGUAAGACCAAAACGACGACGUAGCCGAUGAGGACAACAAUGGAGGUGGUCAAGAUCAUGAUGAAAUUACGGUUCUCGAGAAUGACUGAGGUGACUUGGGCACCGGAGAAGUCGGCGGGGUCCAUCUUGCCCUUGAUAAUCGUCGCCAUCAGAUCCAGCGGCGAGAUUUUCAUCGAGUUAGAAAAAGACUCCAUCUGCAAAGAAACUGAUUGUAGCUGCUAAGGACGUUUUGAUGCCCGAAAUCUGGUGGCGGAAAUGGAGGUGUGAGAAACGGAGUUGCCCGAUUCCGGUGACAGCAGAGUAAGUUUAGCAGGAAGUUUUAGUGGUUGGGGUAAUUGGGGAGAGAGGGGGGAAUGAGUUUUAGGACUUCUCCUUUGUGUCCUUCUUCUGGGUGAGGCACCAAUUGCAGAUUCUGUAGGACUCAGCAUUUGGGUAAAGAUUGCUGCAGUACCUGUGCUGAGAUCUGAGUUAGCAAACCUUGCAAAGGAAGAGCUCAUAAGAGAAUCUAAAAUCCCCACACAUGCAGCACUCACGGCUGCCUGCUGCUUCCACUUGGACUACUGAUGGUAGGGUGGUGGUGUUUCCUUUGCAUCUGUAGCCGUUUGGUCUCUCUGAAAUCCUUGGUUGCAGAUCGAGUAGAAUCUCGGGUUGUGCAGAUUCACGGUGGAUAGUGGUGAGGUUGUGAAGGUUUCAUGGUUGUGAGAUGAAAAAUUGAGAGAGAACCGACAUAGCUUUUUGUGUCGAUUCCCACAGACGGCGCCAAAUGUUGAUGCACAAAACCGGAGGGUCUUGGAACAACGUAAAUCCGACCGUGAAUUUGCAAGAAAGUAAAGAACACAAAAUGUAUCGUGGUUCAUCCCAAUGUUUGGGCUACGUCCACACUGAUGUUGAUUGUAUUUCUUUGUAUGAAUGUAUGGAUUACAAGCGUAGGGGGGAGUCCCCCCAGAGAAAGAAAGGGUUUGAGAGAGAUUCUCUGUGAGGAUGAGAGCUUUGAAUAUGAGAGCCUCUGUUUGGGAUGUGAAGCAUCAGGAUUGUGAGGGUAAGGAGUCCCUUUUAUAGACUAAUGGCUUCUCACUUAUUACAUAACUACAUUUGAGUCCCACGAGUAUUUAUACGAGGUCUAAAUACGGAGGCUCUAAGUAUUGUACAAACAUAGCUCAAAUUGAGUAUAUGAAUAUACCAUAGUGACCUACACAACCUUAGGAUCAUCCCCAAAUUUUUAGAAUAAUUUUUGGACCACCCACGCACCGCCACGCGUAGGCCAAGGCACGGCAACACACGCUGCCCACGCGCGGGCACAUGCCAGGCACGCUGACGGCGUCAGUUAACGCCGUUAGGAAUAUUCCAUCAAAUCCCAGCAUAUACUGUUAGAUUCUUAACGGUGUUAGCCAACGCUGUUAGCAUAUUCCGUCAAAACUGACGGAAUAUUCUCUGUCUUCUUAAGCCAGUUACCGGUCGCCUGUGACUUCGCCGAUUUCUGGAAAACUAAAUAAAUCGUCCUAACUUCUUCAUUUUUGCACCAUUUUCAACAUAAUUGGUACGAUUUUAAAGAUCUCAGAUGAACAAAACCAUACCUGCCCCGACCUCCAACUCGUCGGAAAUUCGCCGAAAAAAGCCUCGAUAAUUCCGGCCAAACUUGAAACUCUUCGUUCUCACGAUUCCGACGUCCAAUUUCUUUAAACAAAGUACUCCGAGCUUCGUAAGGACCUCCUUAAGCUCCCUAUGAGCUUGAAAUUCCCUGAAACAAUCAUAUUUACGUCCACAUGAACAAUGCUAAAUUUCUGGGUUACGGGUUCUAGGGUUUUUCGAAGCAUUCACGUCCAAACAAAGGUACCAAUGAACUUAGGAGGUUACAAUGAGCAAGAAUCUUACCUUUAAAACUUCGAUCCGUGCCUGAAAUGGAGAGUUUGAAGGUUGUCUGUACAGUUUGUACGGAAGUUGCAGGAAAUUCGAGAGAGAGCACGGGAGAGAAGAGAGAGAAUGAGGUUUGUGUGUGUGUGAGUCCCACGUGGUCACCAACCAACCAAGAACAUGACAUCCAAGUCCCAAAAUAUGUCCCACACAUACAUUACAAUUUCAACGUCUAAGGAUAAAACUGUCCUUUCACGUCCUCGAGAAUAAAAUAAUACCUAUCUCUGGGACGGGCUGUGACAGUUGUCAUGUGUUGUUUCCGUAAUCAAGAUGAAUGGAAAAUUGGAUGAAAUUUUUUAAAAUCUAACACCAGGGGAAAUUGGCUAUUUAUAAGAGUUCAAGGGGGUAAUCGGCUAAAAUUAUAGUUCAAGAGGGAAAUUGGCUAAUUAUAAAAGUUCAAGGGGUAAUAAGCUAAAAUUAAUGUUUAGGAGGGAAAUUGGCAGCUCCAUACAAGUUUAAGGGGUAAAUCGACAAAUAUGCCUUUGGACAAAAGUCAGAAUUAUAAAUAGACACACACAAAUUCCAUUGUUUAGAUUCAUAAACAUAGAGAUUUAAAAUUUAGGAAAACUAAUGAAAAGGGCUUGAAAACUUUGAGUUUUAAUGAUAAGGACAAAAUAAAGGGUAAAGUGAAUAGUACCAUGAUUGACUUUUUAGUGUAAAAAUGUGGUUUUUCGUUAAAGUGAACAGUACCAGGUGCUUUUCGUUAAAGUUCCCUUAAAAUUUUUGUAGGGAAAAAGAACAUGGAAUUUAUGACCUCCAAUUCCUAAGUUUCUUUUUCUUUUUUAAAAAGGGGGACAGAUGAAGCCCGUAAAUAUAAAUUACAUGUAAAUAGGUGUGUCAUUUCCCAAAUUCUAUGAGUGAGAGUUUAAAAAUAACAAAUUUUGUAUUCAACUUCCUUUUUUUUUUUAGAUUAACCAAACAAGGAAAUUCACAAAUUCUAAAAAAUAAAAUCUCAUCAUUUUAAAAUUCCUUAUCCAAAUAGUGUUAUGGAAUUGUUUUUUGUUAUUUUCGGAGUGAUUUCUACAUAUUUUUUCCUCUUGAACUCCCUUUUUUUUUAUUUUUUUUAUUUUUGAACAAUGGAGAUGGCUAAAGGUCUAAAAGGCAAUAAAUGGUCUGAUUUGUUAAAAAAACUUAUCUCCAACAGAUGGUUGGGCUAUAAUUUUAUGGAGCCCACCAAGCUAUUAUUUGCCCAAAAGGGCAUCAGGCUGGCCAAAUGUAGCCCCUCUCUUUUAGCCCUUUUCUUAGGGGCUAGCUCAUCAGUUACAAUAAUUGAUUCAAAUUUAACGGCUAGAUUUGAAAGCAUCUAACAUUAAUUUUAUUAAAUCAACUAAUAAAUUUAAAAUAUAAAUAUAAAAUUAAUAGGGACUAUAUUUAGCCUAUUUGACUAGAGAUGAAAAAUGAGUAUGGCUUGACAAUGUUCGUAUAAAAACAAUUUUUUUAGGCUAUAAUUCUAGAUUAGGCUAUAUUUAGCCCUAGGAGGGGGCUUAGCCUCACAACAGGCUACCAAGAAUAUGUUUCAAAUUCGCCUUUGACGAUAGUCGAACUGAAGACCUCUCACUUACAAAAAAGAAACACCAUUAGACCGUAGCACUAAGUGGCUUUUAUUUCAAAUCUUUAAAUUGAAUAAACCAUAACAGAAUUAACGUACAAAGGAUUUAGGCUACAUAAUCACGAUACAUAAAUUGGUGUGUGUAAAUCAUUCCCCUCUCUUUAUCAUGAGUAAUACAAUUUUUAGGCAAAUUGCAAUCAACUUGUCUUCUGUUUUUUCUUUGUUUAAAUAGGUGUGUAAAUCAUACCACCGAUGGCUACCUCUUCUUUUAUGUUGGAGCUCUCAAAUACAAGUGAUACAUAAAAGUUUUCACACAAAAGGCAGAGUCAAGUUAAUAAGUUGCAGCCUGGAAUAAAUUUGAAUAGAGAUAGCACAAACUAGUAUACUACUUGAAACGAUGAAUGGUGAAUACAUGCCGUAUGAUACUUGAAACGUCGAUGCUAUCUGUUAAAUACAGUACAGAAUAAUAUACAUACCUAGAUACGAAAACAUAUAUUGAAAUUCAAUAGUGUCCCCCAAAUUGUAUACAACAUAUAUAUCAUUUAUGUACCUGUGUUAGCAACAGGUAUGUACAACAUAUCUCAUCAAGCAAACCAAUCCAAACUAUCCACAAAAGCUAACUGUCACCACGCCACCACACCACCACACCACCACCUACGCCUGUCUGUCCACUCCCAAGUCCUACUCAUAUGAGAAACAUGAGGCCGAGUGCAAACACACAUGCUACCGUGAACUACAUACAGCAACAUGGUUCCCAGUAUUCUCGACACCAACUCUAUUCAAUCUGCUCUGUAAAAACGCAGCAACUUCAAUGGUUUCACCUUUUCCUAGCACAAAUAAAUCAAAAGACUAAAACUUGAAUUUUCUAUUGACUGUAGUUAAUCUCAAUUUUAAAAGGAAAUCAGGUGCAGUAACCUACAGAAACCUCAAUUCCUUCUUCAGAUUGGGAAGGGAAAUGAAAUCCCGUCGAGCAAUUCUCCAACAUUUCAGGACUCUUCAUCCAUGCUCUACGUGCAUCACUCACCUUUAUCUUAUACUUGAAUAGCUGUGAUACAGACAAAAUCUACGGAUUAGAGAAAGCAAACUGCUAAGGUCAUUUCCCUGCCUAGCUCUCUUUGAGAAUCAUAAGUGAGUUUUCUGAAAAGAUUUAUCUCUACAUAGUUUCUCUAAUCUAUGAUAGCUGGAUAUCACGUGCAUGCUCUGUCACAUUACAGGUAUGAAAAAAAUAAUAGGUUUGGCUUGCCAAAAAUUAAUAAUGAAAUCUUUCAUCCUUGAUUCCCAUUCCCCAAAACCGGAGAAGUAGUUUUCAUGUAUUUCAAACUUUAAGUUAAUGUAGAAACUCGAAGGAAGCAAAACAGAAAGGAAAAGUAUAAUAUAGUAGAAUUCAACCACAUAAUUGUCGUGCAAUCUGAAUACCUGAGACAGAGGGAGAUUUGGUUUCUCCAGGUCAUCGUUAUCUAUGAGGAUACCAGUGCCCUGACACUCUGGGCAGAAUACAGAAUGCAUUUGUGAGCUCAAUACUAUCAACUGAUCAUCUUUUCCAUUGCACUUAGCUGCAGUUUUUCUCCUCGAUCUCCUCCUCACUUUUGAACUAGCGGACUGAUUCGUGAUCAUCUCAACUUCACACAGAAGUAUCCAGUGUAUAAGGCAGGAAGUAUGAAACACAUGAAAAGCCUGCAUGCGCAUAAAUAAAAAAUGAUGCUAACUACUUUCUUAGAGAAAGAAAGAUAAAGAGAAACAAACUCUCUUGAAAUUAAAUACAUAGAUUUACGAUAUUAAAAAGAUAAGAGGGUCAAGAUGGGUGGGGGUGUGGAGGACAGGAAGAAAAAGAAAAGGAUGCAAGUUAUUUGGGACUCACCCCAUUCACAUUUCGACUACUGCAAGCAAGCCUUCCUGUCUUCAAAUUUAUGAGAGUGGCUACAUCUUUCCCAGGAAGCAUCUUCUGUUGACAGAUAUCACACAUUCUGCCCGAAGCUAAACGCUGUUGCCGUCUUAACUCUCUCCUUAUAGACUUGUUAAUAAAUCUUGUGUGCAGAAGCUGAUCAUCAUACCGUUCUAAAAGCAAUCUUGAUGUUGCACCACUGGAAGCAGAUGAAUCUUCCCCACAUGAAUCAAACUGAUUACUUAGAGAUUCACUAAUAUCUUCAGGGUCAGAGAAGAAUUUCUUUCUCUUACUGCUGCUGCAUUCACCAUUCUCUGUUUCUUCUGUAGGACUGGAUGAAAGAAGCAUCUUUACAUCAUCAAGUAAUCCCUUCCUACCUAAAUCAAUAUUGUAACUGAAGGCAACGACCGCAAAGUUGUGCUCAGGAACCGUGAGUAAAUCAUUGCUAUCUGUCCUUUUCCCCAACCAUUCACACCAUAUUCUACUAAUACAAUUUGACAGCUCAUCCUUCUCGAGGAGCCUUGCAGCAAUUUGUCCAAAGCCUACCUGCUUCACUUCUAUGUCGGUAAUUUCAUCCCUAAACAGAAUAUGAGGGAUCGCCAGAGAGGAAUUCGCUCCAUCAGAAUGCUUAUUACAUUCAUGACCAUCAGCACCAAAAUUCCCAUUGCCAUUAGAUAUCAAAUUUUCCCCAUAUUUGACAACAGCAAGAUUGUUUUCAUUGUCAUGAGACUCCAAAAUCUUACGUUUAUUGCCAUCUGGAACCACCAACUGCUUAUCAAUCUCAUCUGAAUUAUGAAAGAAAACCAUACCGUCGUUAAAAGGCCAUGGGUUUGAUUGCAAGAGAGUAACCUUAGCAGCAGCUAACCUGUCAUUGUGAAGAUUACCCUUCAAGUGAUCAAACAGCACCUUAUCACUAUAACAUGGCGCAAGGCACAAAGUGCAGAAGAAAAUGAACUUUUUCCCCUCUUCUCGUAGCUCAACAUAUGUGUGCCCUUGUGACCUCACAUUGCGAAGAAUUGUUCUUGUUGCUUGCUCUCUAAGACUACUAGCACUAGUCUUUGGAAACCCAACGUCCCACCUUCCCGCCAUCAAAGUCUGCUGAAAACUAAGUUCAACUUCGAAUGCAAAAGCGCCCUCAAAACCACCCAAAAUUCAAGCUUAAAUUCGAAUAUAUCCACUGGUAUCCAUAGAUGGAGAGCUUUCAACAACCAUACGAAACUCGAUUAAACUCAAAUUACAAGAACUUCUUUAUAUUCCCAACAACUCAAAAUGAAACUUUCGCUAGGGUUACUCCAUAGGUAAAAGCCCCGGUCAAUUGACAAUUCUAGUGAAAACCUAAGAAGCUCAAACCGGACAAGAAUUUUCUAGAAACCCUAGAAUUCAUAUACGAACCUCCGUUCUUCACAAAGAUAGACAGAACUUCCAAAAACAAAAAUUAUCCGAAAUUCACCGAAACCCUAGAGUUUCCGUUCCCAAUUCUUUAAAUUCGAGGGCAAAUACAGCAAUACAGGAAGCGAAAACAGCAAGUACAACCCUAAAACAAGGAAAAUCUAGAAAUUAGCAGAGGAAACCCUAAAAUUACAUAUUCGUAGCGUACUCUGUAUAGGAUCCUUGAGGAAGCGCGGAGUUCGUCGGUCGGAUUGAAGCGCGUAACGAGCGAUGAAGAGAAGCGAACAAGAGGUGGAGUCCUCCAUAGCCAUCUCCAUUGCACUCGAAGCUCGAACUUCGUAGCUGUUUGGAGAGGGAGAGAGUGGGGGAAAUGGAAUGGGAGAGAAGGAGGAGAAGGAAAGCAAGACUGCUGAGAUUUCAAUUUCCAGAUUAAACUUGUUUUCUGCUUCACGUUAUCUUUUUUGAAUAAUAAUUUGUGAUUGGUUAGAAAUACGAAAGGAGAGGAAAAGAGAGGAAAGGAGAGAGGUAUAUUCGAAUUUCGGACAGAACGGAUAAGAGUGAAAAUUUUAUUGUUUGUUUGUUUUUUUUUUUUUUUCUUCACAAGACUUAAUUGUGGUUAUUGUGGUUAAGACCAUCUUUAAUUUUUGAGUUAAAACUUAAAAAUUUUAAUUUAAAAAUAAUUUUCCUGCUUCAACUGUUCUGGGUUAAAAUUUUAAAUUAUUAAAGAAUGAAUUUAGGAUAAUUUUCUCUCAAAGUAACUUUUGAAAAAAAAAAUAUGUUAAUUUAAUUUUAUGAAAAUUUUAACUUAGAAAUACUUAUAUUCCAAUAAAUAUUAAAAAUUCAUUAAACUGACAUUAUGAAAAUUGUAUAACACUAUAAAAGAAUAUGAAACACAUUUAAAUUUGGACAUUUAGAUUAUUUUUUUUAACCUUAGAUUUAAUCAUAUUAGAUCUUAGUCAUCAGAUUUAAUGAAUUUAUGAAUUUAUAACUAAAAAAACACAUAUAUGGUGGGUUAGCCCCCUAACCAAAGAGAAUUUUGGUCUAAAUUUGUCAUAAAAACGAGUGUUGGGUUAAAAUUCAUAUUUGGCCCAAGAGUUGACCUACUUUGUUUGGAUUUUUUAUUUUAAUUUUAAUUUUUAUUGCUAAUUGCCUGCUUUUUUAUUUUAUCUCCACAACUUCUCUCCAUCUUCCCUGAUUUGCUUUGGCCCUUGAUUUUUGGUCUCUUUAUUUUGAGCUUGUGUUGAGUUUAGUUCAAAGCUUUGUCUUAGUUUAUGUCGGCGUUUGUCCCAGAUUUGGGUCUUAUGUCCUCCCUCAUGCUCGAAUAUUGCUUCUUGUCGCUACUUUUCGACCAUUAACCACCGUCAAAAUGUGAAUUCGGGUUGCGCACGGCCAUUGGGUUUCUUGCUGGGUUUGCUUUCGCUUGAUGGCAUUGAUAUUAUUUGUUCUCGGUGCCGUCAUCUUGGUUUUGGGCUUAGUAAUUCUCUGUGAUUUCGAUUUUGUUUUUCCUCAUCGUCUUCCUUCAAGAAAGAAAAAACAGCUAGAUUGCGGUUUAUGUACGAACCAACAUAAUGUGCAUGUGCUCUUUAUACAUGAAGUUAUCAACAUAUAUUUGAUAUGAAAUCAUUUUUGGUUAUAUUUGAUAUCAAAAUUUGCUUUCUUCUCACAUUCUCUCUCUCACUGUUGCUCUAAGAACAUUUACAACAUACUCUUCAAUGCGACACUUGUGGCUUAUGUUUUGUUUCUUGGUGCUUUGAGGCUCUCACCAAAUCUCUGGUAGUAUUGCAUUUGCUGUUUACAAAGCAAUGGAAAAUGGAACUUCAAUAAUCGUGUUACGAAAAAGAAGAAAAAAAGAAUAAGAAAAGAGAAGGAAUUGUUUCGUUGAAGGUAUUAGGCAUGUGAAAAUCAAGCAUCGGCAGUACUUAUCCGUACCUGGUCAGUUACAGAUGGUGCCAUCUUAGCCAGUGCUUGCUCAAAGUGAGAUUCUUUUAUCGUCCAAUGAGAUGCAUCUGAACUCCUCUCAGGCAAUGUCAAUUUCUCUUCAAGAGCAGCCAUAGCAGCUUCAUUCAUCUGCACCAAUUGAUAUGUUAAAGAGAAUCCCAAUCACAUCUCCUCCCCUUUUUUUCCUCCCCGCCAAUCAAACAGAGGUAAGGAAAACUCAACUCCAAAUGAAAUAUUAAACUUAAAACAUCACAAACAAAAGACAUAAUAGAAUAGAUAUUUAAGCAUAGACGAACCAGUGCAGCAAGAUCUGCUCCACUAAAAUUUUCACAUGUUUCCCUUUGUCCAAUCUCACUCAAAUCUACACUGGCAUCAAUAGGCUUCUUCCUUGCAAGAGCUUUCAAGAUCAAACCACGCUCAUCUUUUGUGGGAGGGGCGACAUAAAUAAGUUUACCAAAUCUACCAGGCCGCAGAACAGCACGGUCCAUUACAUCGGGUCUGACACAAGGUAUCACAUGUAAGAGAUGCAGAAUUAUAUUCCUUCAUAUCAACUAAACCUGAAGAAUAAAUAAAUGAGCUUUACCUAUUAGUGGCACCAAUUACAAAUACACCUCGUCGCUGCUCUGCGCCAUCUAACUCUAUAAGUAGCUGCAAUUGUAGGCAGUCAGUUCAUUCUAUUCAUAAAUGAAUGAAAAACGAAUAAUUUUCUAGGCAGUCAGUUCAAGACUACCUUUGCAAUUAAUUUACCUGGUUCAGUAGCCGCUCAAUAACCCAUCCCCCUUCUUUCCCCCUCUUUGUUGUUAAAGCAUCCACCUGUCAAUAAGUGAAGGAAAAAGCUUUAAUAGGCUAUGAAAUGUAGGACAUCAUUCCAUGUCAAGAUACGUGAGGACAUGAAGUGUAAUGCACCUAGUUUCAAACAAUCAUUUGGAUACCUCAAAGAAAUUCAAUGUAAAGUGUUCAGAAAGAGUUCUAAAACAAAUGAGAUAUUAAACAUCAUUAGAUAGAUCUGUAUCCUAUAAUCCUAUAAUAAACUUAUAAUUAAAAAACACGCACACAUGCAUUGUCCUCGUGUCUGAUUUUUGUAAGUAGACAAGGUGGACAUCACAUCAGUGUCAACACCCGGCAAUAAUGUCGAUGCUCACAAAAGUAUGUAGAAAGUUCAGUUAAAUCAGUGAAAUUAAAACAACUCCUGCUAUUACACACUGUUCUCUCCAAGCAGGUCCCCCUAUCAGUUUUUACAAGAAGCUACAAACAUGUAGGUGAAUGACACAAGAAGAACGCCAAAUGUUCAGAAGGGUAAUGAGCUCAAGAAAAUUUCAUUCAGUUAACUUCUCAACCAGUGCAUUCGGAGGUCAGAAAGGAAAUUCCAAAGGUUUAGCUUUCUCAAAUGCUAUGGUGAUGUGAAAUGAGGCUCAUUCUAGCACUAUGUAGGACCAACAGUUGUUAAUGACACUCCAACGCAAUCCUCUCUACAUAAAAUUGAAUCCAACUUCAUCAUGAUAAUCCAGUAAUCUAUUCCUUUAUAUAAUUAAAUGUUCAGAUGAAAUGAUACAAGCCUAUGGAGCCGAUAGUAUUAAUAACAUUUGUCAAUGAGAGAAUCACAAACCUCAUCAAAGAAAAGUAUACACGGUGAGCAUGUCCUCGCGCGACUAAACAAUGUCCGAACUGCCAACUCACUUUCUCCAACAUAUUUAUUCAAAAGUUCAGGGCCCUAACCAGUUAAAAAAGCCAUGUCAACCAAAUGGAUCCUCUCAACUUAUGCAAAAACAUACAUUGAAUGUCCACUGUUAUUGCAACCUACAUUAAUAACUCAAUAUUUCAAUAACAUUCAUCCGGAAAAGUCAAUGGCCGACCUUAAUGUGAAUGAAAUUUGCUCCUGCUUCAUUAGCGACAGCCUUUGCUAUCAGUGUUUUACCACAUCCAGGAGGCCCAUAGAGCAGAAAUCCUGUUUCUAAAUCUACUCCAAAUUCCUGAAAGCACAAAUCAUUUCAAAAUCAUAAUUAGCCACUUGACUGCAGACUUAAAUAAAACAAAUAAAUAGACGAAGGUACAUGCAGAAAUACAGUAUGAAGCAGUGACCCAACAAUAUAUGCCAUAUAAUACUAAAUAUUCACAUAUAGCAUGUCGCGCAAUACAUCAAUAAGUCUCAACCGAGGGUAAUGUUUUUAUUUAAGUUUCUCAAAGUUCACAAUGUGUUUCAGUAAGAAUUACAUCAAAUUUCUCUGAUAGUUCUUUCUGGUGAUAGUCAUGUUUUAGCGAAGCGAGCAACUUUUUCGAUAAAGUUAAAAACAGCUAAUGAAAAUGUUUGGCAUUCUAUUCUUUUCCAUAGAUUAGUAAGUUCUCCAAAACCUCACCCAAGCAAGCCAUUUCACCAAUUGAGAUAUGUUUAAGGUGACAUGUUAGGCUCUUUUUACUUGCAAUUAGUGAACGGUAUUAGCUUACUAAGGAAUGUGACGCCAUCCUGUAAAUAUUGUAUUUCACUAGCCAUAAAUGCCGCAGAAAAUAUGUUCUGAACGAAAAUUGGGUUAAAAGUACCACAUGCAGAUGAAAAAUAAUUUUCUAUUGAAGUAUGCACCAUAAUCAAUGAGCUAUGAAGUGUGGAGAGUUGAGCAUCAUUAGUAAAAUUUAAAAGUAGAAGAAAUGGGUAAAGAAGAUUCAUGUUGAUCAUCAGUAAUUAUGUCCUAGAUCUUUUAGAUCAUAUCAAGCCAUUCCAAGGCACAAUUUUUUAAACAAAAAAUAUAACUUUCUUCUACAAACACACAAUGUACUUGCCAUUCCGAGACAAAGUUUUGAAUAAAAGAAACAAACAUCUUAAUCUGGAAACACAUACACAGAGAUUAGGAAAAAAAGAUAAAACAACAGAAAAUGAAAAUAAGAAUUACCUCAUAGUUCUCAGGAUAUUUAACACGCCUAACAAUAUAGCGAUCAAAUUCCUCCCUUAAAAGAUCUAACCCACCAACAUCUUCCCAUUUUACAUUAGGAAUUGCAGAGAACCCUUCUCUUUUGGACGAGGGCUGAACCACUUCAACUGCUUCCUGCAGAAAUGAACAUGAUAACACCAUUACCACGAGAAAUUUAAUGCACAAAUAAGAAUAACUGGUUUUUACCUCAAUAGGUAACUAUCUAAGUCAAAACAUGGGGAGAAAGGGUAAAGGUAGUUAAUUUUGGAAAACCUCAAAAUCAGCCAUAAUAAUACUGAGCUUUUCCAUUUCUUCAGGCAACCAUGGUUGCAUCCACCACUCUUCAUUGCAUUCCUCGUCCAUAGUAUCUAUAUACAUAUCAGUCUUCCUCUUGUGUAUAAUCCUUUUCAUGGCAAUAUUACCGGCCCUGUCAGCCAGGGCUUUCAAAUCAGCCCCAACAAACCCUGGUGUAGACCUGGCUAUUUUAAGAAGAUCAAAAGAACCUUCAAGUUUUAGAUUGCGAGUAAGUACAGAAAGAAUCUUAACCCUAGCAUUUUCAUCUGGAACGCCUAAAACAAUCUCACGGUCAAAUCGGCCAGGUCUCCUUAAAGCAUGGUCAACAGCAUCAGGCCUAUUGGUUGCUCCAAUUACAAGAACAUAGCCAGACUUGUUAUCUGAAAUUUGCGAGUUGGAAUCUUCAUCAGCCCGUUGUACAAGCCUAUGAGAUUCAUCCAUACAAGUCAUUAGUUGUGUGACAAUUCGCCUCUCCAUCUCACGCUGCAAACUCUCUCUUUUCGAAGCAAUUGCAUCAAUUUCAUCAAUAAAUACAAUUGAAGGGGCAGUUCUGUAAGCUUUAGAAAAAAGAUCUCGUAUAUUUUCUUCAGAUGCACCUACAAUUUAUGAUACCCAUGGCAACUUAUUACAAAUUACAAUUUUACAACACAGAUUUCACAAACAUAAGAACCUUAACAGCACAACAUUUUUCAGCUUGAAUGAUUCAGUCAUCGAAAUUAUGAAGUGAGUAAUGCUAAUACCUGAAACACCAGAGACUACUUCGGUGGCAGAAAUCCUAUAGAAGGGAAUGCCGGUUUCAUUGGCAAUGGCAUGAGCUAAUUUGGUCUUGCCACACCCGGGCGGGCCAUACAACAGAAUCCCAGACAUUGGCCUAACUCCGAGCCACCGUGGGAGCUCCGGAUGGCGAAGCGGCACAAUCACCUCCAUCUUCAGCUCCUCUAUCACCUUCUCCAACCCACCCAAGUCUCUAAACCUCGGCCCCUCACUCCCCUUCACCUCAACACCUCUGGAAACCGAUCCCUUGGCUUCAGGUUCCUGAAAUGUUUCUCGCCCCCCUUGCCCUCCGUUUCCGCUCAUCAACCCAACUUUCUCGCGACCAGGAAGCUCAAUUUCUACAUUCUUCUCCUUCUGGUCCUCGGGCGCCUUGGGCUUCAAGGCACUGUUGGAUCCCAUAUACGAUGCUCGGAGGCUCGAUUUCAUCACAUCAAACUUCGGUUCCACAUUCUCGCUAUAUAUGGCGUCGUCCAAUGUCGACAACGCCUCCUCCUCAUAAUCAUCAUCAGACGAUGUAGAUUGACGGUCACCAUUGCUUUGGCGAAUCCUUCUGACGUGCGCAGUGUCUAUCCGCUGCAAUCUCUCCUCCAUUUUAGUGGCCCUCCGCCGUCUCUUGGAAUUGCUAUGGUCCACUUCUUCAUCUUCGUCUUCGUCGUCUUCUAGGUCGCUGACAUGGAUUAGGGUUUUGGAUUGCUUGAAGGAAGGCGAGUCUAGGGUUUUCUGGACCAACUUGAUGAAAGACUGGAGCUUGAUGCGGUGGUAGUCUUUGUAAUUAGUGCGAAGUUUGUCGACGAUUUCGUCGAGAGAGGUGGAGCGGAGGUGCUUGAAGGUCUCCAGACGACAACGGAGAACCUUCUGCUUUUGGUCGGAGAGGGACCUCCCUUCUCCGUCGAACUUUCUCCCAGUUUUCUUCAUCUCUACUUUGGCUAUGUUGGUACACACACAGUGAACUCAAUUGAAACGUGAGGCGCGCUUAAUUAGGGUUUUGGGUUUAGGUGGCGAUCAAAACGGUGCUGUUUGGUGGUUUUGAUUAUAAAAUUUUUAUUUUAACUUAUUUUUAACUACGUUCCUUGAAAUUUGAUUUCGAUCUCACUUUACCUCUUAAAAUUAAAAAAUUGUCACUUUUUACUUCUUGAAACUUGAUUUUGAUUUCAUUUUACUCCCUGAAAUUUAAUAGUCGUCACUUUACUUCAUGAAACUCAAAAUUUUAUUGCAUUGUUUCUAUUUUUUUUUUAAAUAAGUUCAUUCGUUCAAAAAUUUAUAAUUAGUAAUUCUUCAAACUUCCCUCUGAAAUAAAUGAAUAGUGAAAAUGAACAUAAAUAAUAAGGCCCAAUUAGGGUUGGGUUUAAUUCGAAACGGUUCAGUUUUUUGCCAAAAUCGAAACCGAACCGAAAUUUUGUUUUUUCCAUGAUUUUUUUUUAGUUAAUUAGAAUUAGAUGCCUCAUUUUAGACUUUUCUAAAUUAAACAUCUAUUACUUUUCAACUUAUGAUUAAAGUGCUUUUACUUUUAAUUAAACUUUAUAUUCAAGGUAUAUUCUUAAUUUAAGUAUUUUAUAAAUUCUUUUAAAUCCAUUUCUAUGUAAAAAAAUGCACUCAAUAAUAUUAAUUAAUUUAUUGCUAUUUUUAUGGAAUCUCAUCUGACACACCCCGACCAAGAUCAAGGCAUGCUGACCAUCACGUGAGGGUAACGUAGCCAUGUGCACAGUGAGGAAGCAAUAAGGAUAAGAAUAUACGAAUAAAAAAAAACCGAAAGCUAAUAAGGUGCACUAAUAAAUAGGAAGUGUUAGGAGUAAAAUACAAAAGUAAAUACUCCAAAUCAGAGCAUAGAAAGUGUAGGUGCAGUCCAAUAGGACAAGUACCAAUUAUACAGUACCAUAAGAUGUCAUACAAUUAUUUAUUAUGUCAGAACCGCCGAAGUCCUUAAGGCCACCAACAGCAAGCUUACCUAAAACCUGGAGGAGCGCAAAACAGAAAGCGUGAGUGGGCAAAAACAAACCAUUUCAUUUCUCAACAAUUCUAACCCCUCGCCGUAAAACAUGUAUAAUUUUCCCAGAAAUAGAAUAUAAACAUAUGCAUAAAUAUAUUUGUAAAUAUUUCAAUUCAAAUCAUGCUUCACAUAUUCAUAAUCAUAAGUAUGCCAUGCCAAGAUAUAACAGAGUAAGUAAUUUCAGGUGAGAAUAAAUUCAUGGAAAAUAACAUAUUAGCCGAAAUCCAUGUGGAAGUCUGUACGGCUGGAUUCAAAGCUCAUUAAUCAAUCUAGCUGGAGUCACUACAAUGACCUAUACGACACAAUACUGCACACGAGUUGGAACCAACGAAAAGGUCUGUACGACAAGACUGGGUGUAAAAUAAUUGUGCUCAACACUACUCUUUCAUAAUAGCUGGGCAAUAAAUCGCUAGUCACCUACGAGUCAGAACCAUAGUAAAGGUCUGUACGACAAGACUGUGCAUCUAAAUUGGAUCCAAUAUGAGCAUAUGGUGCGAAAGGUGACAUUAAUAACAGGCAUGUGCCAUAUCUCUGGCUAAAUCACAAUCACCCUAGGUGCAGGUUUAUGAGCUCAAAGUUACUUAAUAACAUGUCACAUUAUCGAUAAUUCACAAUUCAUAACUCACCUGGCUUACCUGAGUGUCCACAGCACCACAAUUAUAUAUAUGCAUCAUAUACUAAUUCAUAUACGAAAUAUAAAUUUAUAUGCAUGGCAUUCAAGGCAUACUUUCAUUUAAAUGCACUUUCUAGGAAAAUAUCAAGCAUAUAAAUAUAUACUGAAAAUCAAAAGCCCACUCACUGGUAUGUCGAAGGGUCGUAGCCCCCGAGUCGUCCUUGACUGCGCUCGUCCUCGGGAUAAGUCUCACCUAUAUACGAAUUAACUAUAAAAACAUUAUUUAAAGCACAUAGACAAAACUAGCUAAUAACUUCUCAUACAUUGCUCAAAUGGGAUGUUUGAAUAUACCAACGUGAUCUACACAACUCCACAAACAUCCUCAUAGUUUUAGAAUAAUUUUUCGACCACCCACGCGCAGCCACGCGCCAGCCAAGGCACAGCCAGACGCACCACCCACGCGCGGGCAUGUGCCAGGCACACUGACGGUAAUCUUAAUGGCGUUAGGGAAUAUUCCGUUAAAAAGAUAGCAUAUAUCGUUAAUUAUUAACAACGUCAUCCAACGCCGUUAGCAUAUUCCAUCAGUUUUGAUGGAAUAUACCUUCAUCUUCUCCGACGAGUCGUCGAUUUCUGGGUUAAAUUUUAAAACCUUAUAUCUCUCUCGUUUUAACACCAAACUUCAUGAAAAUUUAACCAUUUUAAAGAUCUCACCAAGACGAACCAAACCAUACCUGAGUCGAGCCCUGAAACUGUCGGAAACCCAUCAGAAAAGAUAUUUCGGCAAUUCUUAAAACUCGUUGUUCUCGCUAUUCUGACAUCCAAAAUCUUCCAACGAACCACUCCUAGCCUCGUGAGGACCUCCUUAAGCUACCUAUAAGCUUGAAAUCCAAAAAAACAUGAUAUUUUACAUUUGCAUGAAUAGUACCUAAAUCGGAGUUCGAGAGAAACUAGGGUUUUCGAAGGAGUUCUUACCUAAAAAUGGAACCAUUCAACUCGUAUGAACCUCAGGAACACGAUGGUGUACUUUAAACCCUUGAUCUGCAAGCUUUCUUCUAGAUUUGAUGUUGAUCCGUACGUGAGGGAAUGAGAGAGUAUGAGUCCGAGGGAGAGAGCACGGGAGAGAAGAGAGAGGAAAGGUUUGUGUGUGUGUGAGUGUUCCAUGUGGGUCACCAACCAAAACCACAAAAACUCAUUUCUAAUUUGUUCCAAAAAUUAGGGGAAAAAAUGCAAGUUUAGACCCCCCAUUUAGAUGCAUAACACACCACAACGCUCACAUCCAAGGGUAAAAUAGUCAAUUCACGUAAUCGAUAAUUUAUUUUGGGACGGGCUAUGACAAUCUACCCACUUUAUAAAAUUUCUUCAUCGAAAUUACACACAACAAAUACAUCCACUAAUAAUCAUAAAAUAGACGUGGAUACAUCUCUCUCAUCCGAUCAUCUGUCACCCAAGUAGCUUCUUCCACUAAAUGAUUUCUCCAUAACACUUUCACCAAAUGCACUGUCUUAUUCCUCGAUUCCUUAUCUUUCUAAUCCAUAAUAGUCAUUGGUUCCUCAUCAUAAGUCAAAUCUGGAUUAAUUUCCAAAGGUUGAGGAGGAAUCACAUGUGAAGGAUCUGAGACAUAAUGUCGAAGCGUCGAAACAUGAAACACAUCAUGUACCUUGGACAACUCUGAAGGCAACUCAAGCCUUUAAGCAACCUCACCGACUCGCUCGGUGAUCAUAUAUGGUCCAAUGUACCUAGGGCUCAACUUGCCUUUCUUUCCAAAUCGUACAACACCUUUCCAAGGUGAUAGCUUCAGAAAUACCCAAUCACCUACAUUAUACCUUCGGUCAGUGGCAUGCUAAUGUGGGUCACCAACCAAAACCACAAAAACUCAUUUCUAAUUUGUUCCAAAAAUUAGGGAAAAAUGCAAGUUUGGACCCCCAUUUACAUGCAUAACACACCACAAUGCUCACAUCCAAGGGUAAAAUAGUCAAUUCACGUCAUCGAUAAUUUAUUUUGGGACGGGCUGUGACAUCAUCCCUUCCUCAAUUUAAGGAUUCAAUUAUAUCUACUGGGGUUCAAGAUUAAUUGGAUGAAAUAUAGUUUUUCCAAUUUCCAACUCAACAUUUUAUAUAGAUUAUAAAAAAAACAAGAGUUCGUUUAUAAUUAAAAUUGAGAUGUCGACUAGAUUACUUAAUUUCAUGCAAUUGAAAAUAAAUUUGAAUUUUUUAACAACUACUUAUAGUAGAAACGUGAACUAAGAGUUUUCACAUUUUUAUUUUUAUUUAAAAUGAGUCCUUAUUCCAAUAAUUAAUUAUUAAGAGUUGACAAAAUAUUUUUUAGUGUGUUUUAAUGUGAAAAGUUAUCUUUUUUUUAGGUUACACAACUUACACAUAACGUACCAUAAGUUUUGUACGUACCAAAAUAAGGAUAAUACAACGUACUAAUAACUUGGUACGUACUAAAUAAAUAAUUGCAUAACGUACCAAAAGCAAUAUUUUAUAAUGUACCAAAAUACUAAUAUGUACCCAUAUUAAAUUUAUAUAAUGUACCAAUAAUGACACACCCCGACCGGAGUCGAAACGUGCUGGCCGUCACGUGAGAGUGACGUAGCCAUGAGUGCAAAGCGGAAGCGAUAAAGAGUAAGAGAAAUACUAACAAUUUAAAACCAAGCAACUAACAAUCCCAACUAAGAAAGGAUACUAGUGAGAGUUUAAGUGUAUAAAUACACUUUCAGAGCAAUAAGAAAGUCUAGUUGCAGUCAAGUAGGACAAUUACUAAGAUACAACACCAGAUGGUGAAUCCUACUUUUUCGGGAUCUGUCAAAACACCGUUGAAUUCCUCGUGGCCACCAAACUCUGCUAAUUAAAACCUGAAGGGGCGAAAAACCAAGUUGAGUGGGUCAGUAAAACACAUUUAUAUGAAAACCUUAUUUUCCUUUGAAUAUCCUAACCCCUCGCUGUAAAACAAGUAUAAUUUUUCCCAGAAUUAAUAUAUAAGAAUAUACAUAAAUAUAUAUGUGUAAUUAUAUCAUUUCAAUCAUGCUUCACAUAAUCAUAAACAUAUGUAUGCCAAGCCACGAUAUAAUAGAGUAAGCAAAUCAGGUAAGAAUAAUUUCAUAGAAAUAUAACAUGUUAGCCGGAACCCUUGAGGUAGUCUAUACGGCUGAAUUUCAUAGUUCAAAAGUCACUCUAGCCGGAGUCCCUAUAAUGACCUAUAUGGCAACAUACUGCACCAUAGUCGGAACCAAAUGCAAGGGUCUGUACGACGAUAAUGGGUGUAAUAUAAUUAUGCUCAAUACUCCUCUCACAUAUUAGCCGGGCGAUAAAUUGCUAGUCACCUACGAGUCGGAACCAUAAAUAAGGUCUAUACAACAAGACUGUGCACUUAAAUUGGAUCAAAUGUGAGCAUAUGGUGCGGGAGGUGACAUAAUAAACAGGCCUGUACUUCAUAUCUCUGGCUAAAUCACAAUCACCCUAGGUGCAGUUUUAUAAGCUCAACAUUAUUCAAUCACAUAUCACAUCAUUAACAAUUCACAUAAUCAAAACAUAACUCACCUAAGCUUACCUGGGCCUCCACAGCACCAUGCGACAAUAUGCAUAAUUAUGAUGUUGAUGCACAAAACUGGAGGGGUCUUAGAACAACGUAAAUCCGACCGUGAAUCUGCAAGAAAUGUAAAGAACACAGGAUGUAUCGUCGUUCACCCCAAUGUUUGGGCUACGUCCACACUAAUAUUGUAUUUCUCUUAGAGGAUUGGGAGAGAGCCUCUAUAUGUGAGGAUGAGAGCUUUGCUCUGAAUAUGAGAGGCUUCUCAUAGCCUAGGAAUUGGCAUCCCUUAAUGAGGAGAGUGAUGGGUUCUUUUAUAGAACAAGGGCUCAUCGUUUAUUACAUAUUUGCCCUUUCAUUUAUUACAUAAUUACAUUUGAGUCCCCUGAGUAUUUAUACGAGAUCUAAAUACGGAGGCCCUAAAUAUGGUACAAACAGUAGUCCUCUAAGUCUUCAGUCAAGAGAGUCUUUUGGCUGGAGACUUGAAAUUCAGUCUAUGUGUGGGCCGAAGUAACUAGAUGUUGUCUUGAACUGAUGCUCGAUAUGAGGCGGUGCUCAAUUUGAAGUGAUGCUCAACUAGAAGUAGCACAUGUUGCGAGGCUACUCGGUUUGUGGCUUAUGUUGCUUUGGUUGGCUUGGCUUGUGGCGUUGAAGGUGAGGGAGUCCAUUUUAUAGAAUAAGGGCUUGCUCCUCAAUACAUAAGUGAUGGGUUAAGAGUGAUGCUCGUGGCGAGGUGGUUGCUCAGCUGGCGGCGAUGCUCUCUAAUGAAGGUGAGGGAGUCCCUUUUAUAAAAUAAGGGCUCGCUCCUCAGUACAUAAAUAAUGGGUUAGAAGUGAUGCUCGUGGAGAGCCGGUUGCUCAGCUGGCGGCGAUGCUCUCUAAUGAAGGUGAGGGAGUCCCUUUUGUAAAAUAAGGGCUCGCUCCUCAGUACAUGAAUAAUGGGUGCUCUCUAAUGAAAGUAAGGGAGUCCCUUUUAUAGAAUAAGGGCUCGCUCCUCAAUACAUAAAUAAUGGGCUAAGUCCCCUAAAUAUUUUUCAUGAGGCCCAAUUGAGGCCUAAUAUAUGGUACAUAAUGUAGUCCCCUAAGUUUUCAGUCAAUAGGGUCUGUUGGCUGGAGACUUCAAAUUGAAUCCAUGUAUGGGCCGAAGUGACGGUUGUUCGGAGACGGUAUUUGUAUACCCUACACUGAAGCUUUGUAAGUGAAGCUUUGCAAGUGAAGCUUUUGAAGCUGGAGCUUUGUAAAUAAAGCUUUUGAAGCUGGAGCUCUGUAAAUGAAGCUUUCGAAGCUGAUUGACAUGAGUGAUGCUCAUGAAUGUUUAUGUUGAUUGACAUGAGGGAUGCUCAUGGAUGUUGACAUGAGUGAUGCUCAUGAAUGUUGACAUAAGUGAUGCUCAUGAAUGAUGGUCAUGAAUGUUUAUGUAUGAUUGACAUGAGUGAUGCUCAUGAAUGUUUAUGUAUGAUUGACAUGAGUGAUGCUCAUGUAUAAUUUUGGAGUACUGAACGUACUUUUGAUCACUUGGUUGGUGAUAAUAACAUGAGUGAUGCUCAUGUAUAAAUUUGGAGUACUGGGCGUACUUUUGAUCACCUGGUUGGUGAUAAUAGCGGCAGGCUGCCGAAUAAUUUUUUGUAGUACUGGACGUACUUUUGAUCACUUGGUUGGUGGUAAUAGCGGCAGGCUGCCGAAUAAUUUUUUGUAGUACUGGACGUACUUUUGAUCACCUGGUUGGUGAUAAUAGAGGGCCUGGCUCUUUUGGGCAUAUGGGUCUUCGCCCUUCACAUAACAUUCCAACCCAUUAUUUUGGGCUUGCCUUUUUUUUUUAACCCUCUGAUGGGGUUUAUACAGAUGUCUCCGAAAAGAUAAGAAAAAUAAAUCGCAUCAUUCAAAAACAAGAAAAGUAAAUCUCAUCAUUCUGGUGGGGUGUUUAUUCCUUGCUUUUGCAGUGUGGGUGUUUAUUCCUUGCUUUUCCUUUUGUUUCCCGUAGCUCACUUGAUUGCUUUUGCCUUUCCUCUGCACCUUUAUUGCUUUUGUUAUUGUUUUUGCUUUUACUUUCUCUUUUCAUUUUCUCAGAAGAUGAUUUCACAUGGCUUUCUCCUUUUACUUUCUCAGAAAAUGAUUUCACAUGGCUUUCUCCUUUUACUUUCUCAGAAAAUGAUUUCACAUGCAUGAAAACGCCAUCACCGACAAGAAAUUUGUAGAGCGGGUCCGGGACUUGCGAUGCGACCGAUAUGGAUGUUGGUGGUGAUGGAUUUGGAUGGUGCGAUUGGAGAGAGGUCAGUCGACGGAGGAGAGAGAUAUGCACAACUGACAGAAGUGAGUGUGGUCGGUGGCUUUCGCGUCUCUGUCAUUGGCUUGCUGUUUCGAACCCGAGGCGACCAUCCAGUCACAUACAAAUUGUUCCCUGGGUUCUCCACAGACGGAUUUUUUAACCUGUAUCUCGACCUUGAAACAGACCUCGAAAGGGAACCACUGUAUUGCUUCAAGGAUGAAGAGUAGGAAUACCUUAACCUUUUGGAGUACGACAUCAUAGCAAUCACAUGCAGAGAUUAAUCACUCUUCACUUUCUGAAAUAAACAAUCAAACUCUCACCUUCUCUCUCUCUCUCUUUUUCUCUCCUCUCGCUCUGUGGUGGUGGUUGAUCUGAUCGCACACAGACUGAAGGCGGUCGAUGCGGCGAGCGACGGCUACGAUUCGACAGCCGACUUUCGACAAGUCUAAGCACAACUCACGGCCAAGGCCAGAGGAAGCGCCGAUGACCAUGACGACUUUGCCAUGGAGGUGGCUCCAAGGCUCCAAAUGGUUCAACACUCGAUGAGGUGGCUCCAAGGCUCCAGGUGGGGGCAGGGAUUAUGAAUCGUCUCCCAUACGGAGUUCUAGUAAGUUCGCAUGUGUUUUCUUUCGAUCCUUCAACAUCUGGCACAAUGAUUAUAGUCGGAUCCAAAGCGCAUUGAAUCACAACCGGGUCUUCAAUGGCCGGUGGUGCUGAGCCGGGUUAUGGCCCAGGAUUGGGUUCAACAGUGGCGUGAAAAUGGGAUAGGAAAUAGACCUUCAUAAAUGUCUCUACGGUGGAAGAGGUUGCAUCUGCUGCUCCAUCACCUUGGCCGGCGGUAGUGGGUGUGACGCGUCAUACCCCAGUUCAUGCUAAUGGAUCUGUAGGUGGAGACAGGGGUCGCCAGGAGGAAAAAAAGUGUGCAGAUAUUUGGGGGUAUUUUCUGGGUUUUUGUAAUCGUUUGUUUGGGUUUUUCUAGGAAGUGAUUGGAAAAACUGUGAUAUAUCUGAAAUAAGAUUUGUGUGUUUUGAUUUGUUUGGUAGAUGAAAAUGGAGAUCCGUAGGCGUUUUGGAUUUUUUGCGGAUCCACGGUGGACAGUGGUUGUGAUGAAAAAAUGGGAAAGAACCGACAUAGCUUUUCGUGUCGAUUCCCAUAGACGGCACCAAAUGUUGAUGCAUAAAACCAGAGGGGUCUUGGAACAACAUAAAUCCAACCGUGAAUCUGCAAGAAAUGUAAAGAACACAAGAUGUAUCGUGGUUCACCCCAAUAUUUGCGCUACGUCCACACUGAUAUUGUAUUUCUCUGAGAGGAUUAUAAGGGAGAGAGCCUCUGUAUGUGAGGAUGAGAGCUUUGCUCUUAAUAUGAGAGGCUUCUCAUGGCCUAGGAAUUAGCCUCCCUUAAUGAGGAGAGUGAGGGGUCCUUUUAUAGAAUAAAGGCUCCUCACUUAUUACAUAUUUGCCCCUUCAUUUAUUACAUAAUUACAUUUGAGUCCCCCGAGUAUUUAUACGAAAUCUAAAUACGGAAGCCCUAAGUAUGGUACAAACAUAUGAUAAUGCAUAUACUAAAAUAAAAUAUAGGCAUUGGCAUAGCAUGGCAUUUAAAUCACAUUUCCUUUAAAUACGUUUUCUGGGAAAAACGUCAAGUGUGUAUAUAUAUAUAUACUAAAAAUAACUGCCCACUCACAGAUAUGUCGAUGGGUCGUAGCUUCUGAGCCUCGAUUGAUUACGCACGUCCUGAGAAUUGGUCUCACCUAUAGGCGUAAUAACCAAAUAAACGUUAUUUAACGCACAUAACCAACAAUAGGUAAUAACUUCUCAUAUAUUGCUCAACUUGGGUAUACGAAUAUACCACAGUGACCUACACAACCUCAGGAUCAUCCUAAAAUUUUUAGAAUAUUUUUCCUAGCUCCCACGCGCCGCCACGAGCCGGCCAAGGCACGGCCAAACGCGCCCCCACGCGCGGCCAUGUGCCAGGCACACUGACGGUGUCAAUUGACGCCGUCAGGUAUAUUCCUUAACAAAACUUAAUGGCGUGACUAACGCCGUUAGAAUAUUCCGUUAAACUUAACGGAAUAUUCUCUUGCCUUCUCCCUUCAGCUCCUGCGACCGUUGCCGUCGCCGUCGCCAGAAACUGGGAAAUUUUCAUUUCUUUAUAUCUUCUUCGUUUUUAACCCAAAAUUUAUAAAACUUGAACCAUUUUAAAGAUCUCCCAACGAAGAACAAAACCAUACCUGAUUCGAGCUCUGAAACCACCGGAAUCCUGCCGGAAAAAGCUUCGAUAAUCCAACAAACCUUAAAACUCGUCGUUCUCACGAUUCCGACAUCCAAUUUCUUCAAACGAAGUACUCCGAGCUGCGUAAGGACCUUCUUAAGCUCCCUAUGUCCUUUAAAUUCCCUAAAAAUUAACAUUUUACGUGAGCAUGAAUAGUAGCCAAAAUUGGGUUUUGUGGUUCAACGUGAAAUCGAAGGUAAUCUUACCUGUAAUUAGUACAUUUGAACUCGUGAGGACCUUAGGAACACAAUGGUACCAUUUUUCUUCUUCGAUCUGUCACGUUUACAAGGAAUUCUGGUUGUGUCCGUACAAGAGAGGAAGAGAGGAAGAGAGGGAGAGUGUGAGUCUGAGAGAGAGAGGACACAUGAGUGAGAGAGAGAAAGUGAGGUGUAGUGUGUGGACCAAAUCUCUCCAACCAAUCAAAAUUUAGUCUUUCUUAAUUCCUAAGUGGUUCCAAAAACUUAGGAAAUCAUAAUUAAAUCCAACUUAAAUACAAGUCAUACGCCACACAACUUAACGUCCAAGGGUAAACUAGUAAUUUCACGUCAACGAAAAUUAUUUUUCGGAACGGGCUGUCACAAAUAACGUACCAAAUGAUUGGUACGUUAUAUUUAAUAUAUCUGUUUGGUACGUUAUAUUUAAUAUAUGUGUAUGUUAUAUUUCAUAAUUGUAUGUUAAUAGGAUGUUUAUGUGUUUUUAGAAUUUAAAACAACAAAUUAUUUGAAUAAGAAAAAUUCAUUUUGAACGAAUUAUGAUAAGAUUAGAUAGGAAGUUUGUGGUGAUUUUAGAAUAUUUGUGAUAUUUUGAACUAGUUGGUUAAUUAAAUACAAUAAAAAUCAUAAUUUUUAAUUAAAAAUUAGUAGAAUGUUUGAUCAAAAGUUUAAAAGUUAUAGAUGUUUGAUUAAAAAAAAUUCAAAUUUGAGGCAUCUAUAUCAAAAUGCCCCCUUUUUUUUAUCUGAAGCGUGAAGCACAUGCUUCCCUGCCUUGAGUUUCCUCAAUGAGCAAUCAAUCUGCAACAUGCCCUAAUCAAAAUAUUUGAACUUCAACUGAGAAGUCAACUUAACUCAUGCUUUUCAAUUUUCAUCUCUGCAUUACACAAUAUUAUACAAAAGCUUAAUACUUAUGGAUUGUAAACACGGUUGCAGCAUUUGAGCUGAAACAAGAAAAACCCAACAGUUGAAAAACUAAUUCAAAAACCACAAACAGAGAACUCAACCUAAUUUACUAAAUUAAAAUCAACCAAAACGAAAAAAAAUCAAUCUUUUUUUUUAAAUUAAUAGUUAAAAUAAGGAAGAGAUUGUGAACCUGCGGAAGCAAGCAUUGAAAGAGCAACAAUGGCGAGUGCGCUGACAAAAAGUGCCAUGCAAUUGCAGGGCCAAGUUGAAGUAAUCGAACUCUCUAUGCCCUCCUCUUCUGCUUUCGAUUUGAAAGGGGUGAGGGAAAAUUAUGGUUUGGAAGAAGGAAUCCGCGAAGAAGAGGAGAAGACUGGAGAGAGAGUGAUUUGGAGGAAGAGAGGAAUGAGAGAAAGAGAGACUGAGGAAGCAGAGAGAGAGGAAGAAAGCAGCGGAGGGGAGAGAGAGUGUUUGAGAAAACCAAAAGGUGAAAACUGAAAUGGGAGAGAGUGACAGUUAAGGUUUGUAUACUUUAGAAAUUUUAUAAAGCAUUAAAGAUUAGAAUACCUAUAAAUAAUUUAAUGGUACAACUAUAGCAACACAAAGCCUACAGUCAAGUUGGCUUAAAGCAAGUAUCCUCAACUUGUAAGGAAGGGGUUCGAAUUCUCAUGCCACCAGGUUUUGAGUAUUUAUAUAUGAUUUUCAUAUAUCAGUUCGGUUCAUUUUUUUUUCGGUUCGAUUUUUUCAGUCUAGGUUCGGUUUUCGGUUUUUCAAACCCACCCCUUGGCCCAAUGUAUGGUACAACAAGAGCCCCUCAAGUCUUCAGUCAAGAGAGUCUUUUGGUUAGAGACAUCAAAUUCAAUCCAUGUGCGGGCUGAAAUGACUAGAUGUCGUCCAGAAUCGGUACUCGACAUGAGGCGGUGCUCAACGUGAAGCUGUACUUAGCUAGAGUUAGCACAUGUUGUGAGGUUGCUCGGCUAGAGGCGAUGCUCACGGCGAGGCGGUUACUCGUUUGGGGGCUAUGCUCGUUGCAAGACGGCUCGGCUCUUGGCAUUUCUUGUUGCGAGUAUGCGUCUAUGUGAGUGUGCGCUCAAUAUGAGUUAACUCUUGACAUGACUCGGGUCUGCUUGUUGGGUUCACAUAUUGUGUUUAUGUGUCGGGUUCGCAGAUCGAGUCUACACAUCGGGUCUUUGAGUCAGGGUCAUACGUAGAGUCUUUGAAUUGCGUCCACAAGUUGGGUUCGUGAGUCAGGGUCUGUGUAAUGACCCGUCUUGAAAUUUAUGUUUUAAUUAGCUAAAUUUACAAAAAUAACCCUAACGAUGAAAGCGUUGACUUUCGUUGACUCUCGUUUUAUGAUAUGUAAGAAUUUUUCUUUUAAUUUAUUCACGUAGCACUCGUCGAUACAAACAUGUAGACAUGAGCGAAAUUAAUUUUGGAAUUAAAAUGAAGUUUCUACGAAUUUUUAAACAUCAUGGGCAUUUUGGUAAAUUCACAAUAAGAGAUAUUUGUCCACUUUGGACCAUCCACAGGCUAACACGUGGCAAUUUUUCCUCAUUUUUUUAGGUGUUCUUUUCUAUCCUGUGUGUCUUCCUCCCUUUUUUUUUUCUUUCCAUUUUCUUAUUCCAUCACUCUCCAUCUUAUCUUUUUCCUUCUCCCGUGCACCAUCCCUCUCUUGGCCAAAUAACACACACACCUAUACAUCAACAAACAAAUAACAACACCAACCCUCCACCAUUCCUAGCCUCUAUGGUUAGGUCUUGAACCAAAAAUUUAGGAGAAAAACCUGUUGGAAAACCCUUUCCCGAGCUGCACUGUGCAAGGAACUUCUUCGAAGAAUUUUGACCAUUUACGGCGAAGGUAAGCCUCGAAAUUAGUCCAUACCAUUGUAGAUCGUGUCUAAGUUCACGAUUAGUAAGUUUGUGGGUGGUUUUGGUAGUGUAGGAACUCGAAAAACACUAAGGAAGUCACUGUGCAAAAUAUGGAAUUUCAAAACCGUGGUCGUUUGGCCACGUUCCAGCCAUUUUUUCGGCCAACUCCGAUCUCCGUUGGGCCUCCUAAGGGUAUGAAUCUCUUCUCCACAUUCCAAACUACAUUUUGACGUUUGAAUAACUCGAUUUGCUCAGAAUGAGAUCUUGAAGUUGGUUUAAAAAGCUGAAGAAAUUACAGAAAUUCGAAGUAGGUGAGUACAAGUGUACUUGCUGCGUGUGGGGUUGGCAUGGGCCAGCGCGUGGAGUGCAUGCACCUUCGUCGAAGGCAUUGUGCUCCGUCGCCAUCCACAAUGACAACCACAGCGGCGCCAUCGACUUUUUCGGCCAACCUUCCGGUGACUCAACUUGGCACGUGGCCUUCCAGAUAGCAAUCCCAUGGCGGUGUGUGGGGGAACCCGAGGUCCCUUCUUAGGUUUUUCGACGUCCCGAAUCCGAAUCCGAAGUCCGUUUUCCCAAAUUCAAUCAUCUAAGUAGAAUUUUACUAAUUGGUCCCUUUAUGUGCUUAGGUGCGUCGUUUGGUGGCAAUCCUGUCCUCCCUAGUUCGAACGGCUCUUCAACGACAAAGUAUUUGUGAGUGAACCCUUUCUCAAAUUGCAUUUUUUUUUAUAAAAUAUUAGGCUUCCAUGCAUUUCAUAUUUCAUGAAUUGACUAUGUUUUAUAUUAUGUUUUACGAAUUUCUAUAUUUAUGAUUUCGGAGAAUUCAUGAUUUAUUUGAUUCGCUUUUAUGAAAUAUUCUUGAUUUGUCUAUUUAAGGUUUAUAAAAUGGCAUGUUUAUAGAAAUCACAUUUAUGGAAUUUCUUAUGAUUUCAGAUGAUGAGGUUUUGGUAUUCUACACUUGGUAUGAGAUUUUGGUUAUGUUUUUUGGUGCUUAUCUAGUGGGUAAUCAUACAACACAUACACACAACUUGAGUAUGUAUACGUCUAUAGCCAUAGGACAUAGUCGAGGAACAGUGAGAUAUUAUUACAUGCUCCCAGCUUCAUUGACAAAACCAAUGUUGGACAGCUUCACUAGCCACGACUAGUGUUGAUGUGUUAUGUUAUAUUUCUUAUUUAGCAUAACCCAGAGUCGUACAACUUCACCUUCAGGUGAUAGGACCUAUCGAAUUUCUUCACUGGUGUAACCCAGUGUCGUACUGCUUCACCUUCGGGUGAUAGUUAUGCCUUUGGGCGACUAUGAUACCCCUAAUUGAGUACAUCAUUGAUGUGAUUUACGAAGGUUUUAUGGAUUUGCCUUCAAGUGACUAUGUUACCAUUACUGAGUACUGGUUUAUACGUACAUGUUUUAUGAACGUUUUCAUGGCAUGCUAGAGUUUUCAAAAAACCUACUAUGUAGUACUAUAUGAGUUUUCAAAACAGGGGGUUAGUAUGUUCAAAAGAAAAAUGGUUUUACUUAGUAUUAUUAUUAUAAACUUUGGUCCACUCACUGUUUUGUUUUGCGCCCCCUUCAGGAUUUAGAAUUGAGCCGUACGAUCUCGGUGUCAGGGCACUUCCGCAUAGGUAUCUUCGAGUAUUCUCAAUGUAAGACCCAUUCAUUUGUUUGUACCUUUUUAUAAUAAUUCUUUCACAUUACUCUUGAUUAGUUGUAUGCUCUGAACACGUUUCCGCAUUGGCAUAUUUCUUUCUAAUUACAUAUUUUAUUUGUAUGCAUAUUUACAAUUGUUUCGUCACCCUCGGAUGUCGGCCAGCACGUACUUAUCAUGGUGUUUGGAGGAUAUAGGGAUCGGGGCGUGUUAGUUCGAGCUUCAAAGUGUCCAAGCUUGUGGAUGUCCAAUCUUGUAAAUGCCCGAAUGAGUGGGUGUUCGAGCUCGCGGAUGUCCGAGCACAUAAGUGUCCAGAUGAGCGAGUGUCCGAGUUAGUGGGUGUCCAGUCAAAUAAGAGGUCACCAUUCCGACUAAAUCUUUGUCACUAUAAGCAUGUGGCUCAGUAAUGUGAACUACUAUAAUUUAAUUUAUUUUUUAUUUUUGGAGAAAAGUUGCUUUAUUCCAACACAAUAACUACACAAGAAAAGGCCCAAAUACAUACACAUAAACAAAAAGAAGGACCUCAUAAGCAACUAAAGAGCCAAAAACAAAGAAAAUACCGAAACAAACCCUAACAUCUUUAACCCGCCAUCGUCGGAAAGCCGCUUACCAACUAACAGAAACAAAUGUUCCUUGCACACACCUGAAAACAAGUAGAACAAAGCCCUAAAACUAGAAGAAAAUGGAGUUAAAAUAGAACCCCAAAACAAAUCCCCAAACACCGCCAAACACCACACUGAUAGCUACCACACAUCGAAAUAAGCUUACGGGAAGAAGCAACCCGUUAGCAACAGGGCCAAUAAAGUGAAACCUAAAACGAAGGAAGCCAGUGGGAAAGAGCAACCCAUUAGCAACAGUGCCAUCAAAGGCAAUCCCAAAGAAGGUGGUGGUGUGAACACCUGAGUGAAAACUCUACGCACCUUCUGGGUAAAAUGUGAAAAAUCGCAAUACAAAGAUGGAGAAGCCAAACCAGGAUGUGAAGUCAAAGAAGGAUGGGGCUGAUUGGGUGGAAGAUGGAGUGAAGUGUCGAGGAAAGUGGAAGAAAAAUGAGAAAAAGAUGGAAAGAAGAUGCAAAGAAAGGGGAAAAGGAAGAAACGGCAAAAUGAAAAAAAAAAGGAAAAAAAAAGUAAAAGGAAGGGAGAAGGAAAGUGGAAGGGAGGAGAGAAAUGAGAAAAAUAGAGGGGGGAGUGGAAAGGAAGUGGAAGGGAUGAAGGAAACCAAGGAAAAAAGGGCUACAGACAAAGAAAUCAGGGGCACAAGAAGUUGGAAAAAAGUGAUGAUUAGGCCCCUGGAGAGGGGGAAACAGAAGCUCAGGGAAAAGGAAAGGAAAAGAAAAGUGGAAAAGGAAAAAAAGAGGACUGUCAUCGACCCUAGACAUAGCUAGGGUCGACGGUUGGGGAAAAUACAAAACAGAGAACACUCAAACACUGUUGAGAAAGGCUCUCACAAGAUGAGAAAAGCUGAGAGCUUGGCCUCAGAACUAUUGAUCGCUGCUUUUCGUACAGUGAACUACUAUAAUUUUGGUUCCUGGUUAAUCAAUCAAAUGCAUGAGCAUUGUCUAUAAGCAAUUAAUUGUCAAUGUGUACAUAUUGUGAGCAUUGUCAUAUGAGUAUGCCUUAAAUAGUGUGACUAUACAAUUUCAUGCUAUAAAACAUAAUAACAUAGCAUGCUGAAUGCGGUUUCAAUAAAAUGUAACAAGUUACAUGCCGUAGAAUGUAUGUGGUGCCGUUGCCAUGUCCCAUGAUGAAACUGUUAUAUCAAUAGAACAUUAAUAAAAAUUAUAAAAUAAUAAUUUAUUUGUGUAUUAGCAUUUUAUUUAAUAAGAGGACAAGUCAUAGAAUUGUUAUAUCAAAUUACAUUUUACAACCUCAGGUUUGAGGUCUAUUACAACCUUAUACAACAUUAUUAAAACAUUUCAUUUUCAUACCUCACAUACUAUUUUAUUUCAAUAUAAUACAUCCGUUACAUUUUCCAUUUAUUGAUCCGUUAAGAGCUGACGUGGCAGUCACAUUUGUGCCACGUGGCUGCCAAAUUUGUGCCACGUGGCAAAAAAAAAUUUUAUACAUUAAAAAUAUUAUAAUAUUGACCCUAUUUAUAAUAAUUAAAAAAAAAGUUUGAACAAACCCAGAAACCCAUCUCCCACUCCACCUCUUCACUCCCAUAGCAAUCAACCCACAGAAGUCGGCCUUACCCCUCUCGAAUCCCCAUUCGACAUUGAUGACGUUGUCGCCGACAACAUCAUAGACGACAGGGACGAUGAUGACAACAACCCAUUUGUCCAAUUCUGGGAUUUCAAUGAUGCCCACACACCCAUUCAUCUGACUUUCUCCCCUCCAUCUCCCUGCACCCACCUUCCCUACACAUCUGCUCGUUCCUCUUCUACCUAUCUGGGUCUGACGCAUGCCUCGCCGCCGCACAUAUGGGUUGGUGUUAUCAAAGGUCGGGUAAGGUAUAGAGGCUACGAGGGAGGUGGGUAGGGUAGGAUAGGGGUGGUGGUUGCGAUGGGAUGGGGAUGAGAGAAGGGGGCGGGGUGAUGGGGGAUGGGCUCGAGUAGGAAGAAGGGAUGGGGAAGACGAAUCAGUUUGUUUUUUUUAAAUUUUUUUAAAUUUUUAUUUUUAAAGGGUAAAUUAUUAUAAUAUUUUAAAUGAAUAAAAAAAAAUUUUUUGUCACGUGGCACAAAUGUGACCGUCACGUCAGCACUUAACGGAUCAAUGGAUGAAAAAUGUAACAGAUGUAUUAUAUUAAAAUAAAAUAGUACGUGAGGUAUGAAAGUGAAAUGUUUUGAAGAUGUAUGAGAUUGUAAUAAACCUCAAACCUAAUUUGGUAAAGUGUAAUUUACCCUAAAAUAAUAAUUGUAAAGAUUAGGUAUGCGAUUUGAUCAGCCUAUGCCACGUGACUAGCAAUUGUCAAGUAUUAAUAACAAUAAUAAUAUAAAUGGUGCAAUGAGUGUACAGAUUAAAGAAGGUUUUAGGUGAAUGUGAUCAACCUACCUAUGUGCGUAUGGAUUAAAAUAAUAAAAAUGGUAUGUGAAGUGAUAUGUUUUUUGUCAACAUAAUAUUAAAAUAAUAAGCAGAACUAUAAUCGAAAAGAUAAGAAGGUCUUAUCUUCUUCGAUGGGAGAGGCCAGAGAAUGAACACCUUUGCUGAUCUCGGCAGAGACAGUGGUGGCGAGUUCGCCGGCGUCAAAACCCAGAUAGUAUGGGAAUUUGAAAGAUCCGAGUCCCACGGCAAAGCUGCUCCGUUAGACUGCCUCUGCAAUAUGGGUUUCUGGCCCCAUUUUCUUGCUGAUUCGCCCGGUACUCGGCUCUGAUCCCACUCGAACCCUCCGCCCUUUGUUGUUUUCGUUCUUCGUCUCUCAAAAUGCCGCCGUGGUUCACGAACCGUUACAGAAAAAUGGGAUGAAAGUGCGCUGGUUUUGGAAAGAAGAGAGAUGCAUGAGGGAGGCUGCAAUGGUUUUAUGGAAAAGCCAAAGAGGGGGUUUUGGGUUCUUAGGUUUUGCAGAUUCACGGUGUGGUGAGGUUGUGAGGGUUUCACGGUGGUGGGAUGAAAAAUUGAGAGAGAACCGACAACUUUUUGUGUUAAUUUCCACAGACGGUAUCAAAUGUUGAUGCACAAAAUUAACUAGACUUUGGAACAACGUAAAAUGUCAAGUUUGUACCCUUCGCUCAUUUGCUUCGAUCACCUAGUAAUGAUAGUAUGUAAACAGAUAGUGAUAGGGAAGCAAACACAAGAUGUACGUGAUUUACUCUAAGUUUGACUACGUCCACAGAGUAGAGGAGUUCUCAUUAAUAGUGAAGGAUUUACACAAAUACAUAAGUUUAAGCAUAAUCAUUAUAAUCAUUAUUAGUGGUUCUAAUGAUUAGUUUCAAUACAAUAAUGACAUUAGAGAUUAAUUGUAAGAGAAUGAUCUAUUUUUUUAGUUGAGGAGAGUCUCCAGCUUUUAUAUGUGGUCGAUGUGGGACUCUAUGAGCUUUAUUAUGACGUUGACAUGUGUUGUACUGUGAUUGGUCUCCUGGUUAGAGGAAAAUUCAUGUGCUUCUACUGAGAUGCCUCAGCAUAAACCCCUUAGUGGGUUCUUGAAGGUAUGAUGUUAAUUGGUGCUUGGUAUUUUCAGGAUUGGUCAAGUAUGGUACAAACAACGUCCAUUAAGAACGUAGGAAAUAUCGAAAUCAGUGGAACUAAUGACAAGGUGGCUAGAGAUGGAAGGAGAAGGGAUGAAUGUAUGGACAAUUAUUAAAGAGAGUGGUGGAGAGAUGAAACUCAGGAAUUAUUUUUGCUCACUUUUCUUACUUUUUCUUUUUUAAAUAUGUAUUACAAUGUUUGAAUUUUUGUUUUUUUGUUUUUUUUGUUUUAUAUAUGUGACACCAUUUGAUGGAUAUGUGAGCUUUAUACUUGUGCCACGUUAGUUCUAAGUGGGCCUUAAUUAUGUCACACAAGUAAACUUAAUGAUUAUUUAAGGGAAUACACAAAAACAUGUCAAAGUGGAGUGAAUAUUGAGUUUUAGGGAGUGGAGUGGCAACUUUUGAGUUUCAAUGGAAAAAGUAGGAACCAAAUCGAGUUCAACAGAGCAAAGUGGCUACCUUUUAGUUUCAGAGGGCAAAAUGGGAUCCAAAUCAGGUUCCAGGAGUAAAAUGGUGAUUUUUGAGUUUCAAGCGUAGUUAAAAAUAAGUCUUUUAUUUUUCAAUGAGUAAUUUAAAUAUGAAUUUUACUUUGUGACCAAAUUUUAAUUUUUUUUAGCAAUGUUACCGUUUAAUAUAAAUACGUAUUUUUCACAUAUAUAUUUUUAUAUAUUUUACUUAUAGUAUAAUAUAUUAUUUUGUAUUGGUAAUGGACAAGUUAACGUGACAUCUUGAAAAUGAUGUUUUUUGGUGUAAUAUUUUUUUGCAUAUGAUAUAGUGUUGAUAGAUAAAAUGCAGGAGGAAGUAAAUGCGAAGAUUAACUUUUGAUGGGAAGUGUUGGAAUUUAAAGGUUUUCGCCCAAGUAGAUCAAAUACAGAUUAUAUGAAGUACAACUUCGACGGGAAUGAGGGCUCCAACGAGAUAGGGAUGAGGAUUGGAGAUUAGAAAGUACCAAAGAGUGAACGUUUUCGUUAUGUUGGAUCUAUAUUGCAAAAUAACUGAGAAUUUGAUGAACAUCUCAACCAUAGAAGAUACGCUAGAUAGAUGAAGUGGAAGAGUUCAUAGGGUGUAUUAUGAAUUGUUGUAUGCCAUUAAAACUCAGGGAAAAUCUUUAUAGGAAGUCAAUAAAGCCAACAAUGCUUUAUGGCACGUAGUGUUUAGUGGUCAAAAAGCAACACGUGCAAAAAAUAAGUAGUGGAGAUGAGAAUGCUUCAUUGGAUGUAUGAGCACAUAAAGAUAAGAUGAGUGAAAAACGAUUAAGAUAGUUUGAACACUUGAGCUGAAUACCUAUAGAUGGUCUGAUUAGGAGAAGUGACUAUUAGACGAAGACUCAAAGCAAAUAAGGUAGAAGAAGACCUAGGAAGACUUGUAAAGAGAUCAUAAGAAUAGAUAUGAAGUACUUAGAGCUAACAGAAAACUUAGUGCAAAACCGAGCGCAAUGACGUUUUAAGAUUCAUAUGGGCGACCCCACUUAGUUGGAUAAGACUUGGUUAUUAUUCUUAUUAUAUAGUAAUUAUUACAUUAUGCCUUGUGAGAACGAUAUCUCCUCUUCAUCCUUUUUAGUCGAAAGAAUGGUAUUUUCUAGUUAGUACGGAAAAGUUAAUGAGAAGAAGAGGCUACUCCAUUUCAUGGUCAUGACAUACUACAAGCCUCUUUUAGAAUUUAUAGAAGAGUCUCAGCCUUUUUUUAUUUUUGUUUUUACAUGUUGCCACCGAGAGCGAUUUGGUAGCAAUGAAACUAAAAUUUAGGUCUUGAUCUAACAAAGAUAACAAUUCUUACCAACUCAACCAAUUCUCAUCGGCAGAAAAAGGUACAUCCAAUACAUUGUGUGAUCGUUGAAAUUACCUACCCAUGGUAAUCAAAGUAUUCUUAACUAGAUAUAUGGGCAUCUUCUUUAGUCCUAAAUUGGCAUGGAGUAUGGGGUUCAAUAAUCUUUUGGUUGAAUCUGAUUCUGUUAUAGGAGUCGCUCUAGUUUCAAGCUUGGAUGGAGAAUCAUCCGCUUGGCUCUUUGGUUUUGUCUUGUCGGAUCUUAUUCCUAACUUUAGUUAGUCUAAAUGUCCCCGUCUAGAGCUGACUAAGCCUUAACUAAACGCUAGGCUGCUGGUUACUGGCACAAUUAAUCUUACGCAAUUAACAAUAAAAGACGACGCUAGAUUUGCUUAAGUGCCCGCCCAGACACCUUCCACUUUUUCAAGGUAUGCAUCAAUUAGGCUAACUAUGUGUUAUUCUUGUGAAGUUUCGUGAAAUUAAUCAGCUUCAGCUGCCAAACACCCCCAUCCCAUGCAUCUACUUUUCUUACCAAAUUAAACGAAUCGUGCUGCGGACGACCCAUUAAUUGAGGGAAUUUUUCAUUUUUCUAUAAAAAUGUUUGGCAAAGCAGACUGAAAAAUUCUACAUCAACAACUAACCAUAAAAAUUAAUAACAUCUCAACAUAACAUAAGCCCCAAUCGAAGAGAUUCAACCAUUCAAAAGACGAAAUUCAUAUAUAAAAUCCAAAUUAUAGAAAACAAUACAAAACCAAAAAACCACCAAAUCCAAGAAAACAACCCAAAAAAAAAGAAAAGAAAAGAAAAGAAAAGAUUCAGAUCUUGUUUACAUCAAAAUCAAGUCCUACAAAUGGAAAAGUUAAAGACUGAUAUAAUCAUCAGUAUUAAUGUCGUAAAUAGAAAUAAAAAAGAUUGAGAUCGAUCAGCCUCUGAUGUGCUUAAUCUUGAACCAGCCUUUCUUGCACGAAUUUCCAACGAUCCUCACUCCUUUCUUCACUAAGUGUUUCAGCUCCCUGGCCCUCUGCCUCACCUGGUUCUCAAACCCUGCCAUUAUUUGUUUCUGCUUUCUAGAGAGAGAAACCACCAAAAGUUUUGGAGAGAGAAAGAGAGCAGAAAGAGAGUAGAGAGUGGGGUUGGUGUGGGGGGUUUUAUCGGGAGAAUUAUGGCGCUGCUGCUGGUGGAAGAGGAGCUGCUGUUGUUGUGUGGUGGAUGCGGUCGCGUCUUUUAAAAUGGGAGCCGCGUAGGCCAACUCACACUCACACGUGGCGCAAAUCCAACGGGGUGGGAACGGUUUGAUCGUGUCAUGCGUGAUUAGCCGAAGUUAAUUGCGGGAUAAGAAUAAGGAUGGGCUGGCAUGUGACAUCUGUGGUUUUUAAAUUUUAUUGGACAUUUGAAAUGUGGACACAUCCUUUGGGCCCACUCAAUUUUCAUGGGACCACUCAUUGACUUGGAAAGAUUUUUCAACGUGUCCGAAAUAUAAAGUGGUACAUCAUCUUUAUAGAAAUAGCAAGAUUUUCAUGUUUAAAAAUUAAUAACAUAAAAAAAAAAAAUUUCAUCAUUUAAAUAAUAAUACGUGCUGUACCUGCGAGGACAAGGAAAAAUUUCUCUUUUGACUUUAGCAGAUUUUCUCCUUCUAGGUGUUUCUAAUUUUUGUUUUACAUAUGCAUAAUUGGGUCGGGAAUGGAUCCUCUACGGAUCCUUUUUAUGGGGAUCCGGAUGAUUAAAAUUGAAUUUAAAUAGUAUAUAACAAAAACUAACGGUACGAUGUAGAAUGAACGAUUGUAAUUGAUGAAUUCCUUGAAUCCUUACAAAGAGAACCCGAAGAGGAUCAUUUUCCAAUUGGGUCUAAAACCCUUCAACUUAUUUUAAUUGUAAUCAUUUUACUAUUUAGGGAUUCGUAUUCUUUAUUAUAAUGGUGGAACCAUAUUUUUUUAUUUUUUUAUUUUGUCGAAAAUGGUGGAACCAUAGUUGUGGUUCUAAAAAUUGGAACAGGAUUCUCUCCAAAUCACUUUUGUGCGGAUUCUCAGGAUGCAUCAAUCUGGUUCGUUCAAAAGAAAAUCGAACAGCUAGAAGACUAUCAAACUGAGAAGGGGCUGCGAUGGCAGCAGCGGCCUUGGAUCCUCCGCCUCGUGAUUGCGGGAUAGUUGAGAAGGGGGCGGAUGUCGGAGAAGACGAUAGCGUCGUCGGGAUCGUAGUCGUGAUUGACCGAGUAGAACCACAGAGGAGAAUUGAGGAAAAAACACCGCAGAAUCGACGAGAAGAAAGAAGCAGAAAAAUUGAAGAAGCUGCAGCAGAAUUACAAAGAAGAAAAUAGCGGCAGUUGUUGAAAGAAAUCAAAAUUAACGGAUAAAUUAUCUUUAACAUUGAGUGUUAGGUAGGAUUGAAUAUUCCAUGUGAAUUGUUAACUGAACCACUAGCACAUAGCCAGUCCCUAAACAACCAUCUGGAUAAGCAUAACCAAACCAAAUGGGACUGGUUGAGCCUUUUAAUACUUCGAAUUCCAUAAAAUAAUCAUAGAUUCGAAACACAAUAAUCGACAAAAUAAGUAUAUUAUUAUUUAAAUACAAUGAUAUAUUUAAGGACUUGGAUUGUCUGUCCUCCCCAUUCCAUACCCUUCUCAUACCUUCUUAUAUUAUAUGAUUACGGUUAAGCCAUAUCAACAUUUAUUAUUUAACAGAUUUGAACCUAAAACCUAUGUAUAAAAAAGAACACUACUAAAUUGUUGUACUAAGUGACGAUAUAUAUACUUUGUGGUUUAAAAAAUUCGUAUUUUUAAGAAAAAAAUUAAGUUAAAUAGAAGAAAAGAAAGAAGAGGAAGUGGAAGAGGAAGCCGUGAGAUAUUUAUGAGGACGCAGCGGUGGUUGAUGGGAUCUUCCGGCGAGGUAUCAAGCAUAACGAGGAUGUGGCAGGGAGUGGUGGGUGACGCUGGAUUGGUCAAGUAGGACGAUGAGAGAGAUAAGACAGUCUUAGUAGUCCUUUGGUUUGCAGGGGUCUCGCUAAGAUUGUUUAACAAGCCCCUUAGUUGAGGUGUGUAACAAGCACAUGACUACACUAAAAUUAGUUCAAUUUAGUAAAAUCUAGUGAAGUCAAACAAAUGCACUCUAAAAUCACUUGUCAAUCCAAAUUGAAAACUUUAUUUUUUCAUAUGGGAUCACGACUUUCGAAAUUUAUAUGAAGUGGGUAUGGUGUUUAAUCCAGAAUUUAAAAUCUCCGUAUUAUUAUUGAAAUCUGAUCGUAAACCAAUUAGAUCAUAUGGCAUAACUUUUGACAAUUGGUAUAAUUUUGUUUGUUUUGGUUGAAAAAUGGGCCAAUAAAGUAUACUAGCAGAGAACCUUAUCUUUAGCCUUUAGGUCAGUGGUUUAAAAUAAAAAAUAAGCUUUACAAUAUUCAGUUUAGAUGGCAAGCAGAGAGGUUGGCAAAUACAGAUACGAAGAAUAUGAUGACUCCUUCAAACUUCAUUUCUGUUGCAGCACAUAAUUGUGACUUGUUGAAAUCACCAUGGCCCCAUUGAAACUUCAUCAUAACAGCUUCAAAUUAAAGGGACCUAUAACUGCUUUUCGGAUGUCACUUGAAUAUUGAUGAAUAGAACUUUUGCUUCGGGUAAUGUUAGGUAAAUCAACUUUUUAGAUCAAAUUUGUAAACCAAGUGAUGUGUUUCUCGGUCUGAAAAAUGCAUUGUUGGAACUGGAUUGGAAUGCCAAGUGGCUUUUAGAUUCAGGAGUUACUGCUAUUGCCGUAUGAUUAGUAUCUUCGUUAGAGGGGAUAGAAAUUGUAAGAUUUUAUAAUUUACAGUCAAUUCAGUCAAUAUUUCCAAUGAAUAGAAGCACGUUAAUCAACACUUAAAUCAUAAUCCAAUCGUCAACAAUUAUAUCAUAUGGUUUACAAAAUAUGAUUUAAAUAGAUGCUUCCUUAAUCCCGUCAUCACCUGAUUGAUGUCAUUUUUAUAUGAGAUAUGUGAGUCUGAGGAACCUAAAACUUUUAGACAAGCAGCUGCUAGUCCUUAUUAGCAGAAGGCCAUGAACAUGAUGCUUCUAAAAACUCAAAGGAACAUGGUUUAUCAUAGGAAGUAAAUGGGUUUACAAAAUUAAGAAAAACACUAAUAGUAUCGUGUUUAGAAAGCAAGAAUGCUCCUCUUGUACAACAUCUUCUUUGUGAGUGCGAAUCCAAUCUUGUUGGGAAAAUACUUGCAGCAGAAAAGAAUUUCACGUUAGAAGCUUCCAAAGCGGCCAACAGUUCCCGAUGAGGGUAGAUCCCUGCCCAGGAUGGGAAUGCUGGACACUUGACGUGUAUAUCCAACAAAAUCAUUCAACAUAAACAAGUAGACUGGAAGAGUUGAAUGCUAAAUCUUGAAGAGACGAAGAAAAAGAGAACGGAAAACAAAAUCUUGGAAGAGUUUUGUACCGGUUUAUGUUCUUGAAACUGAAAGUUUGAAAUAUAGUGAGUUAAUUACAAUGGUUAUGAAAUCGAGCGAGAGCUCAGGACAAGAAUGUUAUCAUUAAGGUCAUGGCAUUGUACAGAGAGUGUAUUAAAAUGGGAGAGCUCAAGUUUCCAGUCCAACAAUAGGAGCAUCCAAGUACACAUCCAAUGACGAACAACUGUAAGAAGUUCUCACCAGAUAAGUGUGCCGCACUAAAAAUAGCUGAGCUUAUCAAAACUGCUGACUGCCAUUUCGUAGUGGACAACAUUGACGCCAAUAAAAAUCCUCUGUAAACAGUUUCUUCCAGCACGGGAGUGAUAAAGCAGUAUACGAGGACACAAGCAGCUUGUGAGAUGUUGCUGCUCAACAAGAUUUCCUUCAGAACGGGGUUGUUUAUAUCCUGCAAUGACACAGUGUAAAAUAAGUUACUUGAAAGAGAACAGCAUUUCCAAAACAUUGUUAAACCACUGAUCUACUCGUUUAGAGAAACAUGAAUGAUAUGUAAUAAGAAUUUGACAACGGAAACAUAUUCGACUUGUCUGAUGCAGUUUUGAAAUCAUUUUAACUUAGUACCAAGUCCUAUUUCUAAUCAUACAAGCCCUAUAUGACCCAAACUAGUUAAAAUCAAACCACAGCCAAUUAAAGAGUAAUCUCAGCCACUGUUCAAAAGCAAUAUGGACCAUUGGAUCAUUCAGAUAGUAAAGAUACUUCGAUGGCUGUAGGGCGAAAGCUAGGCUAAGAUAUUUGUCAGAAUCUGUCAAAGUUAUCUUUGGCUUAUUUUGUUUAUUAUCAUGAGCAAUGAGUCAAUUAAAUCCAUUCUUCUGUUAUCAUUCGCCGCUACCUAACAUCAGCCAACAUAAAAAAUGCCGAAAUAUGACAUCUCAUUAUCUGAAACAUGUUUUUACCAAGCCAUCAGGCCAUGUAACAAAAUAUAUGUGUCCAGGUUUCUGAUUGCGGUCUUGUUUUUGGGAAGCUUACCUUUGGUUCAUUAAAUAUAACAAGAAAAACCAGAAAACGAAGGCAGACAAGUAAUACGUUUAUCAUGCCAACCUUGGGGCCAACGACUCUAUCAGCAAGGAAGGAAGUUAGGAAAACCAACAUGAACAGAAACCCAAAUCCUACGACAGAUGCCAACAGCCAGCUCCUCUCUUUUGAUAGUUUGUUAGCUUUGAAGAAAUUCACAAACUUAUAUUGUGGCUUGGCAGUACUCUGCAGAAGCAGCAGAGCUGCAAUGAGCUCUAGAGUUUGAGCUCCAAGCAAUGAUAUUGCCUGCACUACCAAAAAAAAUAAAAGAUCAAUCGACGGUGUGCAAACUGCAUACUUACAAAUGCAAAAUCAAGCUUCUUAAAAUUGAGAAUUGCAAACAAUUCCAUGUGCAUUCAUAGCCAUGCUCCCUUGAAACAAAAUGAAGCAUAGGUUGAUGCAAACAGAUGAAAGGAUAAGCUAAUUGAUUACGCAGUGGUUCAUCUUCAUCAUCCUCUAUUCACAGCAUAUGGCAAUCCAUAUCAAAGCAGAAAGUUGAACAAUUUUUAUAUCCAACCCCUAACAGACUACACCUACACUAAAAUGCUAAAUCAUGAAAAGGGAAAGAACAUUGACCGGCUUUGUGCACACUUUUACUUGUAAAUCACAAUCUAACACAUAUAGACAAAUGAUUCAUUAACAAAAAUGUUUCUGCGCAAGUGUCAAACCGUGAUUUCUGUAAACGAAGGAAUGCAAUGAGCCAAGUACUCUCCGAAAAACAAGUUCUAUAAUUUCCCUACACAAUUCCCAUUCUUGCAAGAAUCAAAUACUGUCAAGGCCAUUACUUGUCAACGUUGAUAACAAAAAAUAAAUGAACAGGCUCACCUCUGUCUGUGGAUCAGGUACAGGUUCAUGCAACAGAUGAGCAACCACAGACAACCAUCCAAAACUCAGAGGGAUGUGCAAACUGAACAUAUAGAAAGCCAUAGUGCUCCACACAGUUCCAUAGUCCCAUGGAGCAUCUGCUGCCAGUGCCGAAAACCCCUACAAUUUACAAUCACAAAGAAUCCCAUUUCAUGUUUUUGAUAAAGCGAUAUUCUAAACUACUAUAAUCUACACGGGGCGGAUUCGAACUCAGGUGCAAUGCAACAAGGAACCCCAAAAACAUACAUUUCACCUCCAUUUGACUGAACAUACUAAAUUUCGUAGACACGAAAGCGAAAUUUACCUGGGAAGAGGGUUCAUGGGUACUUUCAGUUUUGUCACAAGCACUUGAAACAAUGUUUGGAGCUGCAUAAGUAGCUGGUGGAUUUGAACUUGGUGCAAGAGAGAGAAGUGUGGGGAGAAAGAGAGGAAGUUAGGGGAUUGGAAACAUGUCCUCCAAAUCCAAUGAGUUUUUCAGGUGCUGUAGGGUAUACAGUUGCAGGAUGCCACAGUUGCCACUGACAUUCUAUCAUUUUGUUUCUCUUCUCCUCCAAACCGAUCGGUUUGUUCUGGUUUUCUUCGCCGGAUAGCAUCCGAUUCCCAAUUAUAAAUGGCUAGCCGAAAGUUUAUUGUUUAUUUAACUAAAAUGAGGAUGGGAUUAACAACUGACGCUUUGGCCGAGUGGUUAAGGCGUGUGCCUGCUAAGUACAUGGGGUUUCCCCGCGAGAGUUCGAAUCUCUCAGGCGUCGUUUCAAUUUUUUAUUUAUUUUUCUGGUAGAAUUUGAAUACAAAAGUUCUAGACGAUUGAGUUUUUGUAUGUUUGGGGCAAAUGAGGUUUGUGCGAUUUUGCAUGCGUAUUGUCAGUUGCAAAGGAGGUGAAGAUGGCAGAGGAGAACGUCCACCGCCUUCGCCAGCAAUUCCACUGCCUUGGCUGGCCAUCACAGCUCUCUCUCCGGAUCCGUCCACCAAGCCACCAUCUUUGAAAUUUAAUCAAACGGCUACAAACAAAGAUUCACUUUAUCGUUGAAUCAAAUUUUAAAACUCUGGAUGGAGUUGCUGGAAGGGAUCCGAAGAUGAUCACUUCCCCUCUCUCCCAAACCUGUUAACCUUUAUUUGUUUAUUUAAUUUUUUUGGUAAAUCUGGGGGUUAUUUAUGUAUUUGUAUCUAUUUAACAACCAGGAAAAAGACCACAAAUAUGAAAUUGAAGAAGACAACGGCGUCGUUUGCCGCCACAACACUAACUCAUCAUGAGGAUGCAUACCGCCCAGCAGUUGUUCAUUAAUCUCCGAAAUUUCUGUCGAGUUUCGGGAACCAUCUCCUUCCUUGGUAUAAGUCUCUCAGCUCUCUCACUCCGACUGACUGACCCAGGUAUCUCUUAUCCUCUUCUUUCAGUGCCGAUUUAUUCUCAACUUUACGAUUUAAUAAGAGGAUUUUAAUUUAAGGUUUAAUUAGUUAGGGUUUUAAUUAAGGGUUUGGUUGUACUUGAUUCUGUAUGUUAGAGUUGGACCAAAUUCCAAACUAAUUCAAUACAUGGUCUUGCUGCAAUGCAAAUAUCUGGAAAAUUGAAUAAAUGUAGACAAGGAUACAACUUUAGUAUUUAAUUUUCUACAUGUCUUGCAUGUUUGUUUCUUGUUUCUCUUUCCAUCUGUUUUUAUUUCUUGUGUUUUGUUUUUUCAUUGUAUGCGUAUGCAUUUUGGUUACAAUAGCCCAAGCCUCCAAGGUUGUUUGUUAUCCAAGAUACCUGCAUUAGGUUCUGGAAUCUUGUUGGCUGCGUUAAAAUUACCUUUGGGGGAGGUCUGUUCGAUAUCCAAGAUCAGCUCAGCCACACUUCGGGCAAGUUGUAUUGUUUUAACAGGUUCCGUAAGAUUGGGAAAUUUCAAAGAAACAACGGAACUACAGUUUCUAGUUUUUGGCUUGGAAAAUAGAAACUUAGGGGCCUGUUUGGUAAGCCUUUUGUUUUUAGCUUUUAGUACACUUUAUGGUUAGAAAUGAAGGAGAAAUACGAGGAAGAAGAAAAGAUGAAUAAGGAUAGAGGAAGGGUGGUGAGAAGGAUGUGGAAGAAAUGCACAUGGAAUGAUACGCAAUAUGAAAAUAAAAAACCAAACAAUUUUAAGUAGGUUUUCGUUCUGAUGUCAUUUCAUGUGCAUUUCUCCCUGCUCCCUCCUAAGUCCUACCACACUACAUCCUCCCCCAUUCCAUCUACUAUCACUCUGUAUCUAGUUACAAGUGACAAAACCAAAAACUAAAACUAAAAUGAUUAUCAAACGGGCCUUAGUUUACAGUUUCACCCCAUCCCACUAGGGAGUCCUGGCUCUAUUCCUGUCUCCUGUUUAGCUUAAAUUCUUGAAUUUGUUCCUCAUCUUAUGAUUAUAAGUUGCAUCCUCAGUUUUGUUUUGUUUUUGUUGAAUGCCAAAGAGCUGCAUGUAAAGUUUGUCGUAGUCCUACCUUAUCCGAUCUAAGUACGUCUUCAGGCUUAGAUGUUCUUCUGUAACCUCAUCCAUUUCGCUCUUGCACAUUCAAGUUUACAGUCAUAUAUAUAUAGAAUGUUAAGAAAGUCGGGUUAAAUUUGGCUGCAAGCUCAAAAUAUGCUACACUCUUCAGCUGUGCUAUUCCUGGAUUUACUAUAAUUUUGAUUAUGCGCUCUUAAGAUAUUUGUUUGUUUAUUUACUUUUAUUUUCAUUAGUGUUUUUGGAAAUCAAGAGGUCGCACUUGGUGCGAUGGCAAGUGCCUUCGCCCAUGAGCGGUAGGUCUCGGGUUCGAGACUUGAGAGCAGCCUCUCCAUAAAUGGGGGUAAGACUAGCCGACAUUCACCUCUCCCAGACCCUGCGUAAAGCGGGAGCCUUGUGCACUGGGUACGACCUUUUUAGUGUUUUUGGAAAUCCUCAAUUUCAAAAUAAUUCAAAUCUCUUUAUACUGUGCUUCUUUGUUGGUUACAAUAAACAUAACUGUUUUUUCGUUUUUCAUUUGAGAGCCAUUUUUUAUGCUUUUGAAGGUGCUCGGUGAAAAGUGUUAUUUCGUGAAUUGGUAACAAAUAGUGAGAAGUAGCGUAAUAGAAGAAUAUUAUGCCACCAUUGUGCAAUUUUUGCACAUGCUUCUGUUGACAUACAUUUUUGGUGUACGUGGCGGCUAGGGAGGCAGCUAGAACACAUCAAAGUAAUCCAAUAAAAGUGGGCUGUUGGUGCUCAUGCUUUCAGAUGAAUUUUGUAUCAACUACAUAGUCUUCACUCUUCAAGUAUAUAAAGGUCGUACCCAGUGCACAAGGCUCCCGCUUUACACAGGGUCUGGGAGAGGUGAAUGUCGGCUAGCCUUACCCCCAUUUUAUGGAGAGGCUGCUCCCAAGUCUCGAACCCAAGACCUACCGCUCAUGGGCGAAGGCACUUGCCAUCGCACCAAGUGCGACCUCUUUCUUUAAGUAUAUAGAACAAUAAAAAAAAAAUGUCGGAGGCUUUCUAAACAAAGAUGAUUCUUACAACACAAAAGACAUGUACAAUAGAUUUAUAUGUCCAGUCUAUAAACAUUUCAUACACAAUACACCACAAUGGUCCAAGUCCAUACAUACAAACUACAAAAACUCCCUUAAUUUGGAAGGUGCGUUGGCAAGCCAGUUUCCUUCAAUCGUGCAAGCUUGUAGUGAUCAGUCUCUUCUCCAGCAAGGUAGACAAGUUCAUGCACAUGUCAUUUGCAGCGGACUUGUGAAAAACAGCCUUGUCGGUACAAAGAUCCUGGGUAUGUAUUUUCUCUGUGGGAGCAUUAUAGACACCAAGAACAUGUUUUAUCAGCUUGAUUUGAAAUAUACUUUGCCUUGGAACUGGAUGAUUAGAGGGUUUACUAUAACGGGUUACUUUGAUUAUGCCUUGCUCUUUUACUUUAAGAUGUUGGGUUCUGGAGUUUCACCCUGACAAGUACACUUUUCCGAGUGUAAUUAAAGCUUGUGGUGGUGUGAAUAAUGUAAGAUUGGGCAAAGCAGUCUAUGAAUACUAUCCAGCUUAUGGGUUUUGGAAUUGAUAUAUUUGUGGGCAGGUUCUUUGAUUCAACUGUAUAUGGACAAUGGUUGUAUCCAGGAUGCCAUGGCACUUGUUUGUUAAAAUGCCUGACAAAGAUUGUGUUUUAUGGAAUGUUAUGCUUCAUGGCUAUGUUAAAAAUUGGAGAAUCAAAUAAUUCUGUUAGAAUGUUCUUGGAAAUGAGAAGUAGUGAAGUUAAGCCAAAUGUAGUGACAUUCGGCUUGCAUUUUUGUCUGUUUGUGCUUCAGAAGCUAUGAUUGGUUUUGGUACUCAACUUCAUGGGCUCGUUGUUGCUUGUGGGUUGGAGUCGGAUUCUCCAGUGGCUAAUACAUUGUUAGCAAUGUAUUCUAAAUGCCAGUACUUCUCUGAUGCCCGCAAGUUGUUUGAUAUGAUGCCUCGAACUGAUUUUGUGACAUGGAAUGGAAUGAUAUCUGGUUAUAUACAGAGUGGGUUCAUGCUUGAGGCUUCACGUUUGUUUCAGGACAUGAUAUCUACAAGUGUUAAACCUGAUUCAAUCACAUGUGCAAACUUUUUACCUUCUGUUGCUGAACAAGGUAACAUGAAGCAGGGUAAGGAAAUUCACGGUUACAUUGUAAGGCACUGUGUUCCCUUGGAUGUGUUUUUGCAAAGUGCACUUACUGAUGUAUACUUCCAAGUGUCGGAAUGUGGAGAUGGCAUUCAAAAUUUUCAACCAGAAGCACCAGAACGGAUGUUGUCAUGUGCACAGCUAUGAUUUCAGGGGUUUGUUCUCAAUGGGAUGAAUAGUGAUGCUUUGGAAAUUUUUAGAUGGUUACUUAAACAGAAAAUGAGACCAAAUUCUCUAACAGUAGGCAAGUGUUUUACCAGCUUGUGCUGGUUUGGCUGCUCUGAAAUUCGGAAAGGAAGUGCAUGGUAACAUUCCUCAAGCAUGCGUUUGAUAGGAGGUGUUAUGUGGGUAGUGCCCUUAGAGACAUGUAUGCAAAAUCUGAAAGACUUGAUCUUGCUCAUCGUGUUCUUUCAAAGACUGACUGAAAGGGAUGCUGUUUGUUGGAACUCGAUGAUAACAAGCUAUUCCUAGAAUGGCAAACCAGAAGAGGUGGUAUAUCUAUUUCGUCAAAUGGGGAUGGGAGGUGUCAAAUAUGACUGUGUAAGCAUUUCAGCUGGGCUAUUUGCAUGUGCAAAUUUGCCAGCAUUUCAUUACGGGAAAGAGAUCCAUAGUUUCAUGAUUAGAAAUGCAUUUAGCCCUGAUCUGUUUGCUGAGAGUGCACUGAUAGACAUGUAUGCCAAAUGUGGAAACUUAGAUCUUGCUCGCCGUGUGUUUGACAUGAUGGAAGAGAAGAAUGAAGUUUCGUGGAACAUCAUCAUUUCUGCUUAUGGGAACCACGGUCACCUUAAGGAAUCUCUUGUUCUAUUUCAUGAAAUGUUGGGUAAUGGGAUCUUGCCUGAUCAUGUCACAUUUCUUGGUAUAUUAUCUGCUUGUGGUCAUGCAGGCGCAGGUUGAUGAUGGAAUUCUCUACUUCCGUUCCAUGAUUGAGGAAUAUGGGAUCCUAGCUAGGUUGGAGCAUUAUGCUUGCAUGGUAGAUCUGUUAGGGCGUAUUGGACAUUUACAUGAAGCAUUAGAAACAAUAAAGAGCAUGCCAUUCUCCCCAGAUUCUGGUGUCUGGGGAACAAUGCUUGGAGCGUGUCGACUCGAAGGCAAUGUUGAGCUUGCAGAAGAGGUUUCAAGAUAUCUUUUUGAAUUGGCACCUCAAAAUUCUGGCUAUUAUAUACUCUUAUCAAAUAUACUUGCUGAUGCUGGAAAAUGGGGGAGUGUGCUUAAGGUUCGAACUCUGAUGAAAAGCAGAGAAGUUCAAAAGGUUCCUGGGUACAGUUAGAUUGAGGUGAACACCAACACUCAUAUGUUUGUUGCAGCAGAUGAGAGUCACCCAGAGUCUGCUAAGAUAUAUUCAUUGCUCAACAGUCUUCUUCAAGAACUAAGAAAAGAGGGUUAUAAUCCAAGAACUUACCUUCCAAUGCGUCCCCAAACGUUGGGGGUAUAAUUACUGGAAUGUUUUAGCUUCUCUCCUACAAUUGUGGCUACUUCAGGAUUAGGAAUGUGUUGUUGGCUUGUCAGUAAGGUAAGCCAAUGAUAGGAGCAUAUUUAUGCGACUUAGUUGGCUUGUUCUUGUGCAUUUAUGUCAUGUUUCCUUAGUUAUUUUAGUGUUUAAAGUCAUUUUCGUGUGUUUUCAGAUUUUAAGGACAAAGUAGGCAAGAAGAUGCAUUUUGGAGCAUUUUGGAGCAAAAUGGAGCUUGGAAUGCAUGUCACAUAUUUGGAACCAAGGUUUGGACGAAAUUGAAGACUUAAAGAGGCUAAGAAUGUGAAGAAUUAGUGUACAAAGGAUCAAGAACUCAGCCAUAAAAGGACACAUCCUUGCCGUGCAAUCCACAUAGCAUUCCCUUUGGAUUCCCAUGCAUGCUUAAUCAUCCUUGUCCCCUAAAAUAUUUCUGAUUUCAUGCCUCAAUACACUCAAUUAUCACACUCAAUUGCUGCAUACCUCUUGUUCCCUUCACCCAUCAGAUUUCACACAACUUUCACAACCAUUCCAUGCACCAAUUGAUGCUCCAUCAUCCACAUUUGGGAUCCAAUGCCGUGUGCAACACAUGUUGCUGCACCUUUGACUAAUUUCUGAAACAUUUCACCUCCCCUUUUCAUUUCCAUGCAAUGAACACAAUCAUUCAUGCUCCCUAGCUGAAAUACCACUCCAUUUUACCCUCCAUACUUUGCAUCAUUGCUCCAUUUUCAUCCUUGGACCAUUGCACACCACAAAUUCACCCUCCUUGCUGUGCAUUUCCCCCACUGCCUAAUCUGAUUCUCUAGGGUUUUUUUGGGGCCUAUAUAUACAUGUUUACACCCAUUGGCAAAGGGUUCAACCUCCCAUAUUCAUCAUUCAUGCAGAAAAUUCGUCCAUACUUACCCUAGGCAGCAAAACACCCAAAAAACACCAUUCUAGUGCCCAGAAAACAUAACAGCCACUCCACCUUAUUCCACCCUCUUUGCCAAGUUCUCUACCAUCCUUCAACCAUCAAACACUCCUCCACACUCACCCUAAACCUCUCCAUACCAUUCCCCAUCCAUUCUACACCAUAAAACUACCCAAAACAUCUUCACAACCCAAUCUGCCGCAAGCAAGGAAGGGGACAGAUUCACUACGAUUGUUUGGCUAUUCAUUCUGAGUUGUUGAACGAUUUUAGGUGUUUUCUAUCUUAUAUUUCAAUGUCUAAUUCAUGUAAUCUUUGUUUUGCUUUAAGUAUGAUUGGCUAAAUUCGUUUUGGGUAAGGGUGGAUUCAAAACCAUGAUUAUAUAUGUGAAAUAAGUUGAUUACUCUCGGUUAUCGUUGCAUGAGUCGUGAAUACAAUUUGCUUAACCGUUUGAUUUAGAACUUAUUCUUGUAUGUUGGUUGAGAGUGCACGCUUAAUUUGCAUACUUGAAUUUGAUGCUAGGAUAUAAGUUUGUUUCACCUAAUCGUUAUGAAUUUAUAUUCGUAAGUAGUGAAGGUCGCUAGUCACGAUUGUGUUAAGUAGAUUCUUGGCAAGAGUAUCAUGCUUUUCAUAGUUAUGAAUGCCUUGUCGAUGCUUAUGAUUUCCAAAGAACGUAAUGAUUCUAACCUGUAUCUUUAUCAUGCUAUUCAUAUAAAGAACUUGUUAGGAAUAAUUUGUUUGCGAUGCAUAUUCAUCCAAUUCAAUAAUUCUAGGGAAAUCUGAAGGUUAAUUUAAGCGGAUCUAAUUAACUUGGAGUGUCGAGGUUCAUAACUUGUUAAAUUGAUAACUAGAAAUCGAUUUAGGUUGCAUAUAUUUCAUGUGUGGAGAAGAGCCCCUUAGCCAUUCCAUCAUCCAUUGAUUCUUCAUAACUUUGUAUUACAAUCUGUUUCUCUUACAAUCUGCCAUUUAAGUUUAUUUUCGUCCAAAUCAAAUCCCCAUUUAUUUUGAAAUCCUAGAUUAGUUGGAAAGUGUGUUGGUUUAUGUUUUUAAGUGUUUUGGUACAAGUUAAAACCCAAAUUCGUCCAAUUUGGUGCUUUGUGUUCAAAACUGCCCAGAAAGUGUUUUUAAGGCAGUUUUGAGUCUCUUGAUUGCUGUUUUGAGUUUUUGGUUUGUUUUAGUAUUUUAAACGUGAGUUUUGCAUUCUAAUCUCCGGUCUAGAACGAUCCCUACUUACAUACUUUGCUACAAUUGAUAAAAAGAGGGUUUAAUUUUGUGUGUUAACUUCUUUCUCACACCAGCCAGGGACCUUGUUGGCAAUGAAUUCUGCUAUAUCUUAUUCUGGAAACAUUUUCUUUGCAUACUCAGAUCUACAAUUGUCACCUGUAAUCAAUAAAACAAGUUUUUAUCAUGUACUUUAUUGCAUUACUUGAGGCACGCCAAUGAAUUACUAAAAAGUUCUUCUAUCAAAACUACUAAGUUAAACAUGCUUGGGCGAGGUAAACUAUGAAUGGUGGCCUCUUGAGAAAUUUGCCAUUGCACCUACACAAUUUGUACUUUUGUAAAAAUAUAAUCUUCCAUGAGUAACAAGUCGAGUAAGUGCACAUUUCAUGUCUUCCACAUUCUUAUGUGCAUUAUAUAGGACACAGAUAGUCCUGCAUUAUAUGGGAACAUGAAAUGAUUUUUCUAUGAAGGUAUGUUGCUGUUUUAGUUUCCUUUUCUUGCAAUUUUAUUCAGAGUCUUUUAAAGAAAAAGAAAUAAUCAUUUAGAAAAUAAUAAUAAUUUCCUACAACAUUAGUGUGUCAUGACUCAUGAAUAAUUAAAUAUCUAACUUAGUGUGUGUACUAAAAGUUGUUUCUCUUUAAUCAUGCUAUAGAUCUAGAAUAAUUUUUUGGAAGGUUUGGGAUUGAAAAAUAUUGGACCUACCUUUGUGCAGGAAACAAAUCAAAUUACUGAUGCCCCAUCAAAUAGGGCCAUGCAAUCUGUAGACGAGAAGAAAAGAGAUGUUCACUACACAUUAUUGAGCUGGUAAUUGAAUUGGAAUAACAUGUAAACUUGUCUCCUUAGAAAAGACAAGGAAUAAUGUUGGUAAUUGAAUUGGAAUAAUGUUGGUAAUCUCUGCAAAUUGUCACGAUUUUGUAGAGUGGAAACAGCGGCUUGUUUUGCAGGAGCGGGGCAACCAUGUGGUGGUUCCCUAUUUUGAAGGUUCUGCUAGAGAAUCCAUUUACGGUUGUGGGUUUUGUUGUUGAAGAUCAAUUGGCUUACAUCUAUGCUGUCAAAGCAAUGUGUAUAUGGAGAUCUGUCUGGUAUGUAUCUCACCUAUGGUUUAGGAUAAAAUACCAAAGAAAGGUUUUUAGCUUUCCCAUCCCGACUAAUAUCAAUUGAAAGCUUCAAGCCUUCAACAACCGGAAAGAUCAAAUACUUGAGACACUCAUGGAUAUUUGCUUCAGUUAUAUGAAAAUCAAAAUCCAUGUUUAGUAGCUUGUUCUUUUUUUAAUAUACCUUCAAGUGAGGGGAAUGUAUAAGUGGGUAUAAACGAAUCUUGCAAGGUCAUUCUCCACAGGGAUUAUUAAAUAAUUCGAAACAAACCAGGUUUCAAUUAAUGAUUGUAAAGUAGAAAUUUUGAUGAUUGAUUUUAUAACCUACUUAAAGUAAAAACGAAUUUAAUGAAUUAAAAUAGAUAAUCUGCAAUAUUAAAGCUAGAGAAGAAAACAGUUAUGAGAAAAUCAAAUUAAAAAGGCACUAGGGUUCCACCAUCACCUAGCAAUCCUAUGAAUUUUUACCCAUUACUUAUGAUCUACACAUGCCACUUUGAAGGUUAGAUUUUCCUAAUUCAUAUUCUACUUGGAACCUCCAACAUAGAACGUAUAUCUAACAUGCAAUCCGUCCGGACGUUCGGAUCAAAUCUAAACAUGAAAGACUCAUUAUGCUUUAUGAAAAUCCUUUGAAAAACCAUGCAAUCCUUAAGACGUGAUAUUCAUCCUAAGAGAAAUUACAAUUAUUAAUCACAAGAAGUCAGCGUCAAUUUCAGGGAACCUUCCGACCAAAAUUGCAUCAAAUUACUUUUCUAAAGAUCCUAAUAGUGAUCAGGCAUUAAGACAAUUAGAUAGUUUUUAUCCCGUUGAUUAACAAUUCAAAGUACGCAUGCAAUCAAUCAUAAGCAAUUAAAUAAAAAUCACAUAUUCAUGCUAAGGCUCAAGGCUUCGCCCUAGCAAAAGAAAUUAGUUCCGCAUAUUCAUAAUUGAAAUCAUAUAAAAUAUUAUCAAGAAAAGGAUUGAAAACACCUUCAAGUAGAAAAUCUUCAAAACCCUAGCACUUCUCUCUGUCUCCAAUAUUGCAUAAAAUAAAACGUUUUUUAAAACUGUAGACGGCUAAGCAAUAUAUUUGCUAAGCCACCCUACAAACCCUAGCCCACUAAAAUUAAUAAAAACCCUAAAUAAAAAUAGUAAAAUUCGUCUAAAAUCUGAACAGCCACGUUUUGGCCCAUAAGCUGCUCCAAAACUGGCCCAAUAUAGCUGGAUGUAAUGUUUGAAAUAUUCUGAACACUUUUCCAGAAGGCCACAAACCCAUCCGAGGUCAUCUUGGGCUCCAAAACCGCAAUUUAAGCCCAAAAACGUCACUUUCCAGCACUGCGCACUGCUUCUUUAUUUCAUCGCCAGAACAUCACCGCUUGGUGGAAAAAUCCCAAAUUUUGAUACGAUCAAGCUAAGUGACUCACGAACGUCCUCCAACUGGAAUUACUCCAAAAUUCGUCCAUUUGAUCUUGUUUUGCUCCAGAGGAAGUCGAAAGUCCUAUAUUGAAAAUACAAUUCAAAGUAUCAAAAUUCUUCCAAAAUAUUAACCAAAAUAUACUAAGAUUAGGGUAAAAUAUAUAAUAUAAAUUCUACUCAUCAGGUGGCACGGGCCGGGCCGGGCUCAAAUUUGGAGGGGCCGGACAUAAUUCGUUUUAAAUUGCAACGAGGCAGGCCAGGCCAAGUGAUAGAAAAUAAAACUUGGAACCGAACCUAACUCCGCCAAUUUGAAACGGGCCAGUUCCUAUUGGUCCAUGAGUCCAAUUUUAAUUUUGUUUUUGUUGACAGAGUGGCGGCAGCCAUGGUGGUGUUCGACAAAGAAGCCGGCUCCUCCACCAACACCCUUCCGCCUUUCCCUUGAGAAAGACAUUCCACUAUUCUCCAACCCCAACAAGAUCUCCUCCCAACCCAAAACUUUUGUCAACGUCUUCAUUGCCAUUGUCAGCGCCGGCGUGCUGGUCUACUCUACACCUUCAAGAAAACUGGCUGGGUCUUCAGCUUCCUCAUGCUCUUCUCUGUCACUUUCCUAACCUACCACUGAAGUAACAACCACAGAUCCAAAUCCAAAUCCCUAAAUCCCUAAGUCCAAACAAAGCUUAAUUCCAUAACCCAAUUACUUACUCUCUCUAAUCCUCAUUUUUAAUCUACAACCACAAUUUCCCCUCCCCUCCACUCGUCGUUCUCCCCAGUGGGGACAACAACCCCAACAUUGAUCUGCAGCAGCAGUCCCCUGAUCGGCAUUUCCACCCCUAACCUGGAAUUCGUGUAACCUUUUGAUUCGAUGGUGCCUGAGGACAAUAGAGUAGGCAGGUGGUGGUGAUGAUGUUGACGGGGACAUUUUCGCCUCUAGUGAGCCAGUGCUGCCUCCGCCCGAGGAAAUGUGAGAGGAAGGCUUUGCUCGCCAUGAGUGGCGUCGGUGAGCUCAGUGUAAGUUUGUGAGUGUCAAGGAGAAUGACUUCUGGUUCUCGACCAACCUGUAAUUCAGUUUUGAGUUAUCACGUUGAGAAGAUUACGUACUUACUUGGCUGAGAUUGGGAGUCCUAAUAACAUGCAACUAUGUUCAAGGAACCUUAUCAUGUUUUGACAAGAGUUCCUUAUGGAAUAGGACUAUAUCGAAACCCUAAUCAAUAUAGAAUAUCCGGGUUUCAGUUAAUAGGCCUGAUAUCAAGGAUGGUUGGCUAUAUAUUAGGAGGUCCCUACACUCACAGCAUUAUUCCAUUAUGAGCGUAACCCUAUUCUAAGCUUGGAACUUCGGGCUGUUGAGUGUAGAAGAUCUCCUCCUUAUCUUCCUUCUGCAAUGGCGAGUUCUUCUCCAGGUAAGCAUAUUUAUUUUAUGUAUGCAUCCUUAUAUGUGCGUGUGAUUCUAUGCAUGCAGGGUUUUAAUGGCUUACAUGUGGUAUCAGAGUAAGCCACUGUCAUGUUUAGAAUCCGUAUAUGCAUUAUAACCUAAUUAACAAAGUUCACGAUCCUGAUAAAGACUUCCGCAUAUGAAAAUUGAUAUAAUUAUUUUCAAUCACUAAAACAUCAUGCUAUUGAACUAACAUCCGAUUUCACUUAUACACUCACAUAUAUCAGUAUAUGUGUACAUAUACUUGUUUUGCAAAAUUUUAUUUGCAGGAAAACGAUGGAAUAUCUCUGGACCUUGGAGAACUAAACUAAAUGGUUGCUGUCACUAAAUGACGUGACAAUCAAAUCCUUUUGUGAAUCAUGAUCAAUUUCAACUCAAAAGUGUUUGUAUCAUGUUUUCAAUUUAACGGUUCAAAGUUGAACAUAAUGAUUGAACUGAUGGUGAAUAUAUUUUGUGUUAAUUCUAAAGAAUUCUUAUAUUGAGUCAUGUUUAAUUGGUGUAUAAGUGAGAUGCAAACAAUAUUGAUGCAAUUUGAUCUGCUCAAAAGUGUUAAAAUUGUGUCAUAAAUAUGAAAUUUUGUAUUUCAGUUGUGCAAACCCUCAUAUAAUCAGUUUUCGAUCCAAAGAUGUGACUGGAAUUAUAUGACCUUUUGAUGCCAUUAAUUGUUCAUAGCUUGAACUUUUAGUGAUGAACUUAUGAGAACAUAUAACGAAUAAUUAUGGUUGAUGCAGCUAUGACUUCUCUCAACUUUUCUAAUAUUGAAACCCUAACUGGUUCCAAUUAUAAGAAGUUGAAAGAAUACUUAGAGAUAGCCUUUGGUAUGAUGGAUUUCGACUUGGCCUUAAGAGAAGACAAGCCUGCUACACUGACUGAUGCAAGCACAGCAGACCACAGGUUGAAGUUUGCUUAAUGGGAGAAGGCAAACAUGAUGACUCUUAUGAUUAUGAGAAGGGCUAUGACAAGCAGUGUGAAAGGUGGUAUUCCAAAGAGUGACAGUGCAAAAGAAUUCUUCGAUGCAAUAAGGAACAAGUUCAAAGAAUCUGAGAAAGCUGAAACUAGAAAUUUUCUCACAAAACUGACAUCCAUGAAGUUCGAUGGUGUUGGAAGUGUGAGAGAACAUAUUCUGAAAAUGUCAGACAUUGCACAGAAGCUGAAAGACCUUAAGCAUCCCUUAACAGAUCAGUUUUUAGUGCUUAUGGCAUUAAAUUCCUUACCUGCACAAUAUGGCCAGCUAAAGGUGUCAUACAACACUCAGCAGGCAACCUGGGACAUCGAUGAAUUAAUUUCCAUGUGUGCACAGGAAGAAUUGAGGCUGUCAACUGGUAAGGUGAAGACUGUAAAUCUUGUUCACACUGCAAAAGGCAAACAUGUUGUUGAUCAGUCAUCUGUGGCUACUGGUAAGCCGAAGAAAACCUCAAAUUUUUCUUCUUUUAAAAAUGCUAGCCCUCUUAAACGAUCUCAAAAGUUUAAAGUCACUUCUAAAGCACCAAAGCCUUGUUAUUUCUGCAAAGAAGUUGGUCAUUUAAGAAAAGAUUGCCUUGGUUUUAAAACUGGCUCGUUAAGAAAGGUAAUGAACUCAAUGUUUAUGUUUGUUUCGAGUCAAACCUUAUUUAUGUUCCUCCUUUUAGUUGGUGGUUUGAUACUGGCUGCUCAAUUCACAUCACAAAUACCUUGUAGGGCUUCUCAAAACUAAAGGAGAGAAAUAAUGAAGUUUACAAUGUUUAUGUUGGGAAUAGGAGCAAAGUAGCAGUCGAGUCUAUUGGCAGUGUCUCUUUAAAGCUUUCUUCUGGUUUCAUUUUGUUUUUAAGUCCAGUACUUUAUGUACCUUCUAUGCGAAGGAAUUUAAUUUCAGCUUCUAAGUUAGUUAAAUCAGGUUAUACUUUUAUUGGAGACAAUGAAAGUAUAAGACUUUUUCAUUCAAAUAAAUUGGAUACUUUGCUCGGUUAUGCUCCCCUCUAUGUUGAUAUGUGGCAGUUAAACUGUGAGUAUUUACAUGAAUGUUUUACAGUCUGUCAUAUUGGUUCCAAAAGAUUAUUUCAAAAUGAUGAUUCCCCUACACUUUGGCAUAAAAGACUCGGCCACAUAUCCAAAGAAAGACUUACGAUUUUAUCAAAACAAAACCUCAUACCAAAUCUUGAUUUUGAUAAACUCCCAACUUGUAUCGAUUGUUUCAAGGGGAAAAUGACCAACACCCGAAAACUAGGAUCCACUAGAAGCAGCUAACUUUUAGAGAUCAUACACACAGACGUGUGUGGUCCUUUUCCAAAUAAAACAAUCUAUGGAAAUUCAUGUUUUGUCACCUUCAAUGAUGAUUUUUCCAGAUAUUGUUAUGUGUUUCUAAUAGCUGAGAAGUCUACGGUCCUUGAUUGUUUUAAAAUAAAAAUAUACAAAACUGAAGUAGAAAACCAACUUGAAAAGAACAUUAAAAUAGUGAGAUCGGAUAGGGGUGGUGAGUAUUUUGGCAGGUUUACAGAAAUUGGACAACAUAAGGGCGCCUUUGCAUCGUAUCUUGAAGCCUCAAGAAUAGUUGCUCAGUACACUACUCCAGGUACUCCACAUCAAAACGGAGUGGCAGGAAGAAAAAAACAGGACCCUGAAAGAUAUGAUUCGAGCUAUGUUUUCAAGGUCUAAACUUCCAAUUUUUCUGUGGGGAGAAGCACUCAAAACAGCCAACUAUACACUAAAUAGGGUGCCAAGCAAGGCUGACAAAGUUGUACCUUUUGAAGCUUAGACAGGUAGGAGGCCAAGUUUCAAUCAUUUCCAUGUCUGGGGAUGUAAGGCUAAGGCACGGUUUACAACCCUAAAAAACGGAAGUUAGAUCCAAGAACUGUAAGUUGCAGGUUUAUUGGUUAUGCUGACAAGUCUAAAGGUUUCAAAUUUUACUUCCCGGAUUCCUGCACCAAAAUUCAGGAGACCAAUAAUUCUAAAUUUAUUGAAGAUUUGGAAGAAGGAAUAGUGCAACAUAGCAGCUCACAAUUUGAAGAAGUUGGGGAUGACCUUGAUCAGGUUUCUGCAACAAUCAAUGCACUGCCACUGGUGGAUCAAGAAGGUUCGUAUUCUCUUCCCAUUAUUCUCCCAAGUGCUCAGUCAGAAAGUUUCUCAGUCAUCCCAGAAACUGUGCAACCACCAGUACCUGAGCAACUAAUUCUUGAGCCCAUAGUUGCUCAGACCUUGCACCAAGAGCAACUACCUAUUAGACAGUCAACUCGGCAAAGGAAACCUGCGAUCCUACCAGAUUUUGUGUAUUUACAAGAAACUGAAUUCAAUAUUGGAGAUGAUGAUGAUCCUAUCACUUUUAACCAAACCAUCAACAGCCUGAAGGCAGAUUUAUGGCAUGCUGCCAUGACUGAAGAACUUGCAGCUAUGGAAAAGAACAAGGUUUGGACGUUGGUGCCACUCCCAUGCAAUGCCAAACCCAUCGGAUGCAAGUGGGUGUUCAAAACCAAAAAAAAUAAAGUGGGAAAGGUUGAAAGACAUAAAGCUAGACUUGUAGCUAAGGGUUUUACACAAAGAGAGGGCAUAGACUAUAAUGAAACCUUCUCACCAGUUUUAUCCAAAGACUCCCUGAGGGUGAUUAUGGCCUUAACAGCCCAUUUCAACUUGGAAUUACAUCAAAUGGAUGUAAAAUCAACUUUCCUUAAUGGUGAUUUGUUUGAAGAAAUAGUAAUGGUUCAACCCCCAGGCUUUGUGGUGAAAGGGAAGGAGUCCAUGGUUUGCAAACUUAACAAAUCCAUCUACGAGUUAAAGCAAUCAUCCAGGCAGUGGUACAUUAAAUUUGAUCAAGUUGUUUCUGUUUUUGGUUUUGAAGAAAACAAGAUUGAUGACUGCAUAUAUCUCAAGGUCAGUGGCACGAAAUUUAUAUUUUUGGUAUUGUAUGUGGAUGAUAUUAUCUUAGCUAGUUCAGACUUGACUCUUUUGCACAUCACUAAGACCAUGUUAACCGAGAGUUUUGAUAUGAAAGAUCUCGGUGAGGCGCAUUUUGUUCUUGGUAUUGAGAUUGAGCGAGACAGAUCCAAGAGGAUGCUGAGGUUGUCUCAAAAGUCUUAUAUUGACAUAAUCAUGAAAAGAUUUAACAUGGAGAAGUGUGCAGGUGGCGAACUCCCAAUUGCAAAGGGUGACAAGUUUAGCACUGACCAAUGCCCUAAAAAUGACCUCGAGAAAAAUGGAAUGAAUGACAAGCCCUACGCAUCACUUGUUGGUAGCAUCAUGUAUGCUCAAGUAUGCACAAGGCCUGAUCUAGGGUUUGCAGUUAGUGUUCUAGGUCGUUUUCAGUCUAAUCCUGGAACUGCUCACUGGACUGUAGCAAAGAAGGUACUGAGGUACUUAAAAAGAACAAGGAACCUUGCCUUGGUAUACUAGCAAGUUGAGAGUUUGGAGAUGGUGGCUUAUUCAGAUUCGGACUUGGCAGGUUGUGUUGAUGAUAGAAAAUCUACAAGUGGAUAUAUUUUCCUUUUUGCUGCUGGUGCAAUUUCGUGGAAAAGCUUCAAGCAAAAGGUGAUUGCCUCCUCAACUAUGGAGGCUGAGUUCAUUGGUUGUUACACUGCCACCAAACAAGCAAUCUGGUUAAGGAACUUCAUCAUGGGACUGAAGGUUGUAGACUCAGUUGAGAAACCUAUAACUAUCUGUGACAACAAGGCUAUAGUCUUCUUUUCUAGAAACAACAAGAGGUCCAUUGCUUGUAGAUUAAUGGACAUUAAGUAUUUACGCGUGAGGGAUGAAGUCAGAAAAGGGCUGAUCAACGUAGUUCACAUUGGAACUAAUUUUAUGAUAGCAGAUCCAAUGACUAAAGGCUUACUAGUGGGAGUGUUCAAGAAACACAUCUACAACAUGGGAAUGCAAGAGGAUUUUGAUUCUGUUAAUGAGUGGGAGUAGUAAACCCAUAUCUAGUUCUGUUAUGUUUUUGUCGAUUAAAUUGGAUGCUUUCAAAAUAUUUUGUUCUCAUGUUAUGUUAUGAUAAUAAUAUGAGCCAUACUUCUGUAUGUGGCUCAAUUCUGGAGUUGAAUUAUGUUUAUCAACUUGGAACUUUUGAAUUUUUGCCAAACAACAUAGUGCUUAUGGUUUGAAUAUUUGUGAUGAUAAAAUGCACAUGUAGAAGGAAUUACAUACUGCGUUUUAUGGUUCAGUAUUUAAAGCUGACAGGUUGUUAAAGGUUUAGUUGCAAUUUCUGGGGACUCAGUGAUCACCUUAAUCUCAACCGAAGUAAUGUUAUUCUUCUUGGACACUCAAGUGGGAGAAUGUAAGUUUGUGAGUGUCAAGGAGAAUGACUUCUAGUUCUCGACCAACCUGUAAUUCAGUUUGGAGUUAUCACGUUGAGAAGAUUACGUACUUACUUGGUUGAGAUUGGGAGUCCUAAUAACAUGCAACUAUGUUCAAGGAACCUUAUCAUGUUUUGACAAGAGUUCCUUAUGGAAUAGGACUAUAUUGAAACCCUAAUCAAUAUAGAAUAUCUGGGUAUCAGUUGAUAGGCCUGAUAUCAAGGAUGGUUGGCUAUAUAUUAGGAGGUCCCUACACUCACAUCAUUAUUCCAUUACGAGCCGUAACCCUAUUCUAAGCUUGGAACUUCGGGCUGUUGAGUGUAGAAGAUCUCCUCCUUAUCUUCCUUAUGCAAUGGCGAGUUCUUCUCCAGGUAAGCAUAUUUAUUUUAUGUAUGCAUCCUUAUACGUGCGUGUGAUUCUAUGCAUGCAGGGUUUUAAUGGCUUACACUCAGAUCCUAAUUUGUUGGCUUGUAAUCAUAUUAUUAUCAAAGAUUGGAAUUUUGAAUUGAAGUUAUUUACCUGCAAAAUAGCGACUAAAUUUAACACGAUUACAUUAAUGAUUUGAUUAAGUUGGAUUUAAAUUCUGUGUUAAUAAUGUUGUGCAAUGUGCAUGCAUGGGAUUCAGGGGCCUAAUAGCAUCCAGUUUAAUUUGAUUUCUGUAUCUGUGAUUCUGUGUUCGUUACCUUUUUUUCUUAGUUUGGGGUCUGAAUUAAUGAUGUUGAGAUUUGUCCUUGUAUUUGGUAAUCGGGUUAUGCCAGUAAAUCGCAUUUGCUAUGUCUCAGUUUUGUGUGUGUGUGUGUAAAUUUCAAUUGGGGAAUAUCAGCUUAGAUCUUGACUGAAUCAUUGCAUAAGUUGUUUCAUCUUGCAGCAUGGAAUGCACAGACUGCAGAGAUUUUCUUCGCUCUAGGGUUUUGACACCCAAUUUAUCGAGUAAGAACCAACUUUGUCCUUAACAGUAUUACUAAUUAUCAAACUAUAUAAAUUUCCCAAAAAAUGAAGUGUUGAAUGAUCAUAAAAAGAACACCAAAUAGUUUUACAAAUGAUCCAAAAGUUGAACACAAUAAAUGGCCAGAUAGUUCCAAAUUGUGUUUCGCACGUAAAAAUAAUCAAUUACAUCGCUGCUUUAUUUUAUAUAGAAAAAAAGCAAAUAACUUUGCGUGCAGUUAGGCAAGUCUUGUUCAUUUUUAGGGCCUUGGGGGCGAACAUUGACCGAUUGGAAGGUUACUACUGCUUGUAGUAUGCGAGAACACUAUAUACGGUUUGCGUGGCAGUAAGAAUGAGAACAAUGAUGACCGCAUUUGAAACUGACCAGACUGACGAAGGAUUGUAUAGGUAAUUGUUCUUGAUCCUUGCAAGCCAACGCCUUAGCCAACGUUCUUCAUAAUAUCCGUUCACCUGUCCAGCGAGUACAGGGUAAGAGAAGGAGAUGCGUUCAGUGUCAUUGCAAAGCCUGUUGAACAAACGAACAGUGUCCUCCUUGCUCAACUCGGUGUAUAUAAUAUUUUUCUGAACGAGUCUCUCUAAAUCUUUGGUCGACUUGAUAAGGUGGUUGAAGAGCAUGGCAUAGGACAAAAGGUGACUUUCUUGGUGCCUCACUGCACCCUGUUCGUAGGCUAUGAGGUUUCUCAAGACAGAUUCUGUGUUGACUUCAAUUAUCAUUUGUGGAAUUUGCAUCACUCCAUCGAUGGCGUCGAAGGUUAUGUCCAACCGAGCUCUCUCAGGGGGUGCAAGUUGAAAUCUGACUCCAAUUUCCUCAAGAUGUGUCACUGGGGGAAUAGGAGUCCAAUAUUGAUAAGUGUCUGUUGUUAAUGAUCCAACAAGCAAAUCUCUUACUUGAUCAAGAUAAUGCCUUAUUUCCCUCGUCGCCGUUGUCCGAGACGUAAUAAAGGAGGCUGGGGCCCAAAGUAAGUUAAUAUUAAAUUUUUGUAGGGAGGGAUCUCCUGGUUUUGCUGCGAGGUUGAAUAAACAGAGGACAACUUUCCACGGAAGCUGGUUUUCAAGCAGCAACAAGUCCUUUUUAACUGCCGAAUACACCCGUGGCACUCUGAAAACAGGAUCAUCAUUGCCAGGUUGUUCAAACCUAUUAUCCAUGCGGAGGAAUCGUAUAAUAAAGCAACCAUCGACCACCAUCAUUUUCACGAAGUCAUAGCUAUUCAGAUCAAGCUUUUCGUUAUAGCAGCUACGAAGGAACUCUUCCAUGCUUCUAAUUGCUUUGACCAACUCUACCAAACUCACCAAACUGGUGUCUGGAGUUGGUUUGCAGUGGAGGAGGCCUUGCAAAUACCAGUGCUUAACUUGUUCCAUGCCUUGCAACUUUUUUCCUCCAUGGUGAUACGGCCCGAUUGAAACCAUCUGUGGGACAAAAACAUUUUCAUUGUCCCUGACCAGUUUCUGAGGGACCCUAAAUAUACAUGUAGGAUUUAGUUCAGGAAGUUUCUCGGAAAGCUCUCUUUUGAUCUGGGAUGCAAAUCUUUCGUCUUCAUUUUCUUCGUUUCCGCCCAAAGUUUGGUUACCCGCAUGACUUGUUUCUCCCUCAGAUCUCUCUCCGCCCCCUCUUACUUGAAUUUUGGAGCCAACACUGUUUGCAUUGCUCUCACCAGCUGAGUUUGUCAUCGUCAACUCUUUCCAACUCUAAACGUGACUCACCUACUUUAGUAUUACAUAUUAACAGGAACAAAAAUUACAAAUAAUGUCAGUACUUUAGUUGAACUACCAUUUAUUAUUAGAAACUUACAAAAAUUUUAUACCAUAAUAAAAAUAAAAAAUAAAAAAAUAUGACUUUACCUCUUGAAAUUCAUCUUUUUUAUUUAAAGACCCACCUCAAUAUUUAUUUUUUCCAUACCAAAAACUCAUUGACUAGACCCCAACUAAGAAAUUCAUUAAGUUUUACUUCACCCAAUUUGUAUUUUCGGAUGCCUAAAAUGCUCCUAAUGGCAUUUUGACUUUGGGUUUAUAGCUUAUUAUCUACCUUUGUCUUACGACUUGUUUCGCACAACUAAAUGUACGCAUAACUAACUUAUGUGGAUUGAAAAAACAAUAUGUAUUCAAUGUCAUGAUUCAAAUGCAUAUUAAUGACCUGAUAUUUGUUGUAAAUAUUACCUAACUGUGAUUGUCUAAACCCCUGAUAAAUUUGGUUUCUAGAUUAUCCAUUAGUCUGGUGAUUCUUUUCUUAUAAGAUCAAUCUUGGAGGAAGCGGAUGAUGUAUUGCAACCUACCAAGGUGCCAUUAAUCUUUCAAGACUUUUGGGUCCAAAUCAAAGGAUUGCCAAUAAAUUUUAUCACUCGACAGAUGGGAAGACUCAUUGGCAAUCAUCUAGGGGAGUAGGUUCUGGCAGAUCAAAGCAGGAAAGAGGAACAAUUUGGAAGUAUACCGCGGAUCAGGGUUCGUAUUGACGUCCAUAAGCCUCUAAGGCGUUGUGUGGUGGUCAAACUUGAUGGUAGAUUAUUGGAAGUCGAUGUACGCUACGAGAAGCUGCCCCUCACUUCCUUUCUUUGCGGUUGGAUGAAUCAUAUUGAAGGGCACUGUGAAAAAUUUACAGGCAAAAUGGAGGACGAUAAAGCUAAACCCCACGACAGAUGGUUCCACGAGGAUGUAAUAGGACCUGAGUAUCGAAGGCCAGUUGGGAAGAAGUUUGGGCUGGACUCGGAGACUGUUGAAUAUGUGGCCGAAUUAUCAACUCCUUUGGGCUGCGGCAAAUUAAAAUAAGAAAAGUUUGUUGGACAUCCUUAUGAGGAAACAUCAUAAUGAUGCUUGUAAGGAAAAAGAGAAGGAUGGUUGUUUUAUUCGGCUCAUUUUGAAGGCCAUGUGGUGCUGCAGCCACCGAAGCAAAAGAAGAGAAGUGGUGAGAAUGGUUUUCGGGGAGUGGCCUUUUGUUGGUAAGUGCAGCCGAAAGAGGGCAGAAGAGGAGAGAGAAGACAGAGCUUUUUGUUUAUAUUAAGGCAUUUGGUUUUGAGGGGGGAGCACAGCAGAUGAGAGCCAUACCAGGGAGAGCCUAAACCCAUUUGAGCUGCUCCUUCCCUCCGUUAGUAAUCACUCAAUCAAAGAUAUUGGUGUUAUGUUGUGUAGUUUUUGGGAGAGAAUGAUUUUGAUGUGUUUUUUUCUUCUUCAUUUGUUAGGUGUAUGUGAGAUUUGGAAUUUGAGAGUUAAAACUCUAUUUGAUAUUAGUGAAAUUUCCUCGCUAUCUCUAAACUGGACGUAAGCUUAUACCAAACCAAUAUAAAUCUUGUGUUAUUUGGAUUACAAGAAAAUUUCGUAAAAGUCAACCCAUGAAUAAUAUAGAGAAUAAUAUAGAGAAUCUUCAAAGAAUAUUCUAAGAAUAUUUUAAAGAAUAUUCCAGAUCCAUUUUGGAAUUGGACCAGGCUGGAACAAAGGCCCAAAGGUUUGGGCCGGGUUUGGGAUUAGGUCUUUUUUUUUCUUUUUAGAAAAGGAUCUAGGCCAGUUUCGCGGAUCCGGGUCGAAAUCUAGCCCACAGAUCCGAGUUAAGGGUUUGGGCCGGUUUUCGGUUUGGGUUUAUUUAUUUAUUAUUAUUAUUAUUAUUUUUAAAAGGUUUGGUUUUGCAGAAAGAGGUAUUCAUCAAUUCCCCCCUGAACUUAUGACUAUUGACCAAUUUCCCCCCUCAACUUUAAUUUUGGCCAAUUCCCCCCCUCAACUCUCAUAAUUAGUCAAUUUCCCCCCUCAACUUUAAUUUGGCCAAUUUCCCCCAUCAACUCUUAUAAUUAGUCAAUUUGCACCCUCCUGUUAAUUUUUUUUAAUUUUCCAUCUAUUUUUUCUUUCUUUUAAUCUUUCUAAUAACUUCCAACAAAGUACUAAAAUUAACAUAAACUCACCUGCAUAAUAUAGGGUAAAAUGUACAAAAACAUAAUACAAUUAGUAUGUGAUAUGGGUUGAUUAUAAGAAAAAGUUAUGAAUCAGGUUUAAAGCAUGUAGAAGAAGAAAUAAUAAUCCUAAACUCAUGGAUCAGACCUAUUUCAAUAAAAUGGGUUAUUCUUAAUAAGGAGUCGAAAAUUAUGAAUUGACUAGCCAUUUUUGCACUAAAGCUUGAUUCUCCGCAAUUUACUUGAACUUAGCUUUCACUUUUAUAAAGAAAAUUGUAUUCACAUACAAAAAUGUACACAUCAAUCCUUUUCGUUAUCAAUUUUGUGUAAAAAAUCAAAUAAAAUUACUUCAUACUGAUUUAUUAUGACUAAUAAUACUAUCUAUGAUAAAUUGUAAAAUUCUAAAUUUUAAUCUAUUUGUAAUAGGAUAAAGACAUAGGAAAAUGAUUAACAUACAUCUUAUUUAGUUUCUUACACACACUUGUUUAAUUAUGAUCAAAUUAAAAAAUUAACAGUAUGGUGCAAAUUGACUAAUUAUGAGAGUUGAGGGGGGAAAUUGACCAAAUUAAAGUUGAAGGGGAAAUUGACUAAUUAUGAGAGUUGAUGGGGAAAUUGGCCAAAAUUAAAGUUGAUGGGGGAAAUUAGCCAAUAGUCACAAGUUCAGGGGUGAAAUUGAUGAAUAUAUCAAAAUUUACCAAAAUUUACAGCAAUUUCACAACCAAAAUUUAAACCAAAAUUUAGAGCAAUUUCACAACCAAAAUUUACCUAUAAUAUAUCAAAACGAAGCUUAGGAUAGAAGGAAUAAGAUUAUACCUAUUUCAAGGCCAAAAGUUGGUCGUAGGUCGUCAGAAAAUGGCCUGAAAGUGACGGCCCGAGUUUGAGUUCUUUGUUUUCGUCGGUUUUGAAGUGAAUUUGGGCAUGCAAGCUUAGACCUGUGGCCUAGGGGUAGUGGGAAGUCGUCCUACGCCCUCAACUCAACCAAACCAACGAGGUUUGGCCCUGUUUUGCUUGGAAAUCCUACAAACUCGCUGGAAAAAUGGUGAGUUAGAUAAACACUCUUCGAAACGCACAUAAACUUGCAUGUAAGCUUGUAAAACGCACUAGAAAAGUCCAGAAAUUUAGUUUUAGAGGAGGGAGGUUCACCUGGGUUCGAGCUUUGAGAGCUAUGGAGCUCUCGGCUUCAAUGGUGCCAAGGUCCUCACGACAGCGAUCUCACAUGAAAGACCACCAUUGUGAUCCUUGCAUCCCACAGACUUCAACUACGUAGAAAAUAGGGCUUAGUUGUGAAGGUAAAUGGGAGAGUGAGAGCUCUCUUCUCAAGAGUUUAGAGAGAGA
rnacentral:lncRNA from 1 species